CCCACCCUAUAAAACCAGACAAUAUGUAUCUCCAGCUCUCCACACAACACACACACACACACAAAGCACAGCAGGUGCAACACUAGCUGCAAGCACAAGAAGUAGGCAGCAAUGGUGAGGCAUCGCCUCCUCGCCGUGCUCCUCAUCGGGGUAGUUGCAGCCUCUGCCUUCAACCAAGCAGCUGCCGCUGGCCGAGGCCUUGCCGCCAUCGAGAAGUUUGCAGAGCUAGAGCCAAAGCCAGAAACCAAACCAGAGCCAAUGCCCAAACCUACGCCACACCCAGAGCCAGAGCCAUGCGAACCUGAACCGAUGCCCAAACCCAAACCAAAGCCCGAACCAAAACCCGGACAAAAGCCCAAGCCCAAGCCGAUGCCAAAACCAAAGCCCAAGCCCUGCUCCAAACCAAAGCCACUUCCUAAGCCCGAGCCAAUGCCGAAACCCGAACCAAAGCCGGAGCCCAAGCCUAAUGAACCGAAACCGAAGCCGCCUCCUAAGUGCAAACCACCGACGGCUCACAAUUGAUGGGAUACUUGUAUAUGACAGUUGAUGGAGGAGACCCCAUAAUGGAGGACACCCCAUACGGCGCCACACUGUGCUAUUUCUAGAAUAAGUGGUUCCAUUUAUUUUUAUUGUUCCAUGCAUGUGUGAUGAGUAUGAGUACUCUGUACUUAUUAUUUGCUUGUUGGUAUAUGUUCAUCUACUUUGUACGUGACUCGACUCGUUGUUCUUUUGAGUUUCUACACAUGAUUGUAUUCAUUCACAUGAAUGAGCUAUUUUGUCAGUGAACUGCAGUCUAUGUUGUUUUCUCUAUGGUGUGCAGUCUCAGUUAUUUUCUCUACGGGAUUGUUUCAUUAUUANNNNNNNNNNNNNNNNNNNNNNNNNNNNNNNNNNNNNNNNNNNNNNNNNNNNNNNNNNNNNNNNNNNNNNNNNNNNNNNNNNNNNNNNNNNNNNNNNNNNNNNNNNNNNNNNNNNNNNNNNNNNNNNNNNNNNNNNNNNNNNNNNNNNNNNNNNNNNNNNNNNNNNNNNNNNNNNNNNNNNNNNNNNNNNNNNNNNNNNNNNNNNNNNNNNNNNNNNNNNNNNNNNNNNNNNNNNNNNNNNNNNNNNNNNNNNNNNNNNNNNNNNNNNNNNNNNNNNNNNNNNNNNNNNNNNNNNNNNNNNNNNNNNNNNNNNNNNNNNNNNNNNNNNNNNNNNNNNNNNCAUAAGGGAAGAGAAGGCCUCCCUAAAUAGCAGCACAAUAUGAAGUGUAUAGUGUGCACGUACGUGUCUGGUGUUCUAGAUGUAUAAAGUGUACCCAUAUGCUAGACAACGGCCUUGUUCUCUACCUUUCACCUAUGAACUAAGUCCCGACCAAGUACGUUAGUAUUUAUGCCCAGGCUCUGUGAGUGAGCUGGCUCCGCUGCUGGUUAUACUAGGUAUACGUCACACACAUUGCUACGGAAAAUUAUAGCAAUGAAAUUAUGAAAAAUAGCAUAUAUGAGAAUAAUACCACACAACAUUCUCACCAUAUGAGGAUAGAAAACCUAGACAUAACUGGAGGUGGAUGCAUGUUAUAUAUAUUGUCUUGUGACCUCCAAGUUUAAUUAUUUGUUGCUGAAAUAUAAAUAGUAAAAAUAAUGUGGUGAAGAGCUUGCAUAUGUUUGAUGAUGUGGAGGACUUGCAUAUGAUGGAAAGUGAAAAUUCGAAUGAUUACAUGCACGCUUGAUGAUAUGGAGGACUUAUGUGUGAUGAAAACUGGUAAGUGAAAGUUGAUUGGUUGCAUGCCCUCCAUAAUGUGAUUGACAUGCAUGUGCAUUUAAAUGGGAUGAAUUACUUAGAUAUAUAGGAUAUGUGUGAAAGGUAACUACACCCCCUAGGUCAAGAUUACCAAUAAAAGGCACCAUGAAUUUUUUUAUUAACGUAUUUUCUCUUUAUCAAUUCGCAACAAGAAAAAUCUCACAGUGAUAGUGUUAUGCAACAUACGAGAGACCAUAAUAAUCUCUCACCACCCCAUGGUACUGGCAGGGUCGGCUCAAUGAUUUUGAGAGCCCUUGGGUGAAGUUGGCGAAUUGAUUGUCUUUUGCUUCAACACCCGACAAAUCCUUUUUAAGCAACAUUAGGGUAACCAUAAAACUAAAGAGGAAAGUAAAUACAUAAAUAGAGAAGUUAGAGCCCUAACAUUUAACAUGCUUCGACGAAUGGGUGGCACUGGUAAUAUGGUUAUGGGUGUGUGGAAUGAGAGGCCUAGAGAGUGACAAGCUGGUGCCUCGCUGUCACAGACAUCUGAGGAGGUGGCGAGACUCAUGCCGUCAAGCUUACCCGCGAAGACAAAGAUCGCGAAUUGCGAUUAGGAGAGCUGGUGAUGCCAUGUGUUAGUGUCGCGUGCCGAUUGUGAUUAUUUUCAUUUUUAUGGACCAAUUCAACUAUUGACUAAAGACCUAAAGCUUGCUUUUAGGAGAGCAUGUAUGCCUCACUUUUAGGAGAGCAUCUUCACUGCGCUUAUAGCGCUCAUUAGUGCCACAUCGCACAGGUGCUCGCACGCAUAGGUCGUCUCAUUAAAAAGCAAAGGGGUUGCUUGCCCGACGCCCACUACACUCUUUUCUUGCCCGUCUUUUUUCUGGGAUUGCUCUGUUAUGCAAUGAAAGAAAACAUUCACCACUUUUCCAAAUUUAAAACAUUCAUGAAUAUGAAAAUGUUCACAUAUUUGAAAAAAUACGGGUUUGAAAAAAUUAAAUUAAUUCAAAAACACUGAUGACUUAAAAAAUGACAAGUUCAUUUUUUUGUGAAUUUGAAAAAAGGGAAUUCAAACAAGAUUGUAAAUUUGAAAAAAUGUUCACAAAUUUGAAAAAAUUCAUGAAGUUUAAAGUAAAUAUAAAAAAACUGAAGCAAGGCAGAAAAGUAAAAAAAGAGAAAGAAAAACCUGGCCGAAAGUUUCCUGAACCAAAGUUGACCAAUAAGCUUCUGGAAGCUUUCGGGAGUAGCUUCCGCUCACAUAAACGCCAUAGAUUGGCCAACCCUUUUACGAUCUAUAAAAGGAAGAGGUGUGCGCACUUUCUACCAAUAACUUAGAAACCAGUGCUAAAUAACAUAUUUCCACUUUUAGCGAGGGGUAGAACAGAAUUCGACUACAGAGCCACCAUAUGUGCCAAUCGCAACAUUUUUUUCUAGCAAACAAGUUUUUGUCUAUAGGGGGACACGUCUCACCGCCAACGAACGGAUUUUUCUCAUUUUUAUUUUCAUUUUUCUCAUUUUUGAGAAACUUUUCUAUAAAAUAUAUGGAUUUGUACUUUUUUACAAGUGAUCAUGUAGUUUAAUAAGUGUUCAUGUACUUCAAAAAUGUUCAUAAGAUAUUUGUGAAACGUUUUCAAAAUAUCAAACAUUUUGCAAAUACACAUAGAUUAAAAAGUGUUCAUAUUUUUCCAAAAAUACACACUGUGAACAUUUUGAACAAUACAGGAUCUAGAUUUAUUUUAAUACAUGAUGAAUCAUUGAAAUAACAAUAUUUUCUGAAAACAAAAAAUGUUUUUCUUAUCCAUGAUAAUUUUUAAAUACACUGUAAAUAUUUUGUUCGUACACGAAGAACAUUUGGUAAAAAACAUGAGUGAACAUUGCCCGCUGCCGGUGAGGGAGGGGCGAUGAUGGUGGUGCACUUUCAGCUUGAUCGAGUGAUUUUAUACAUCGCUAGGUGGUCUAUGGAUCUGAAUGUAUGUUCUAUUACUUCUGGUGUUCUUAUACUGACAUGACAGUUGAUAAAUAGAUCCAAAACAAUCAUAAAAAAAUAAAAAUAAAAUGUUCAACUUGUCUUAAUAAUUGUUCUUGAGAUUUAAAAUAUAUAUUCUGAUUGUUCCAGAAAAAUUACAUUUCAAUUGUUUUCACAUGUUUACAAAAUUGUUCAUUGCAAUAUUAAAAUGUUCAUGAAAUAUAUAUAAAAAUGUUUUCUUACAGUUUAUAAAAAUAUUCGUGGUAUAUAAAACUUGUUCAUCAUGUUUUAUAAAACGUUCAAACAUGUAUUGGAAAAAUAUUCUAUGUGUAUUUAAAAAAUAUUAAUAUUUUCAAAACAAUCAACAUGUAUUUGAAAUAUGGAAAAUGAAAAACAAAAUAAAAAACAAGAAAAAUAUACAGAAAAGUAAAAGGAAAAAACAAAAAUGAAAACCCUAGACAAACCAGAUAAAGAAAACAGGAAAAAAUCCGGAUAAAACGUUCUGAAAAUCGCAUGAAACAAACCAAUGCUACACUGCCUCCACCGCUACUGGGCCACAGCCCGCACCGCAUCACCAAAGGUGAGCGCCUCACAGUAUGUAGAGACAUAGCAUUUGCGCAAAAUGACCGCACGCAUUGAACAAACUGUUGGCUAGCUAGUUAUUAGAAUGACAUGUAGACUUUUUAAACUCAACAAAAUUAUAGGUACAAUGCUUUGGAUCAUAGAUACAAGAAAUUACAAAAUAACUUCUAUAACUAAGAAUUAGAAUGAAACCCUCUGGAGUCAAAAUAUGAUAAAUGGAGGAAAAAACAUUACUCCCUCCGUUCCACAAUAUAAGACAUUUUUGCAAGCUAGUUAAAACGUCUUAUAUUGUGGGACGGAGGAGUAGCUCAUAUAAUCCUUCCUCUUUCCGAAUAUAUGGCGGUGCUAAACUGGAAAAUCAUACAUGCAUAACUAAAACACAUGCACGCAUGAGACUGGAGAAUGAGAGCAUGCAGCAUCAAAAUAGGUUAGUUUGUCGGAGAGUUAUAAGAUUCAAUAGUUUGAGACAAUACGCAUAAUAAAAUCCCCAUUGCUAUCUAUGUGCCUAGUAUAUAUAUCGGGCCAGAGGGAGUGCUUGAGAAAACACCGAGUCAGCAAAAAUCGGUCAAUGAAGCUUCCAACUGGUGGUGCAGCCGUGCAGCUCACGCACGAGGUGCACAAUCCUCGGCCAGUUCCUUUCCAGAGACCUUUGCUUUCCAUUGUGAAUUGAACUGAAGCGUUUGCUUUGUACUCCCUCUGUAAACUAAUAUAAAAGCAUUUAGAUCAUUAUAAAGUAGUGAUCUAGACGCUUUUAUAUUAGUUUCCGGAGGAAGUACUUUGUAUUGCAUUGCACUAACGUGUACACGGUCUAUCUUGUUUUCUAAAUGAUGACCGGUCACACGGACUUGUGGGCACGGGAUUGACAAGGCAACUAACAGAAUUCUAUUACUACGAGGAGGCAACUAACAGAAUUCUAUUACUACGAGGAGGCAACUAACAAAGUAAAAAUAUCGUUACUCACCCUACUAUCAUCAUAGAGAUACACACGUAAUAUCCAGCUGUGCUUAGGCUGGUCAUAGUGGGGAGUAACUUAGAGUAGUAACAUGCAUAUGUUACUACUCUAGUUACUACCCUUAUAGUGGGAAAUGUCAUAUGUGUAGUAACAUACACAUGUUCAUUUAUUGUCUUAUAGACUCAUUUUGCAUUGAAAAGCGCUAUGUGAUGGUAACAUAUUAGGUUACUCUAUUUACCUCUCUCCUCAUUUACUACUUGUCACAUCAACAUUUUUGCUUAUGUGGCAUCUAUGUUACUACCUAUGUUACUCCCACUAUGACCAGCCUUAUUAACACCUCUACCUACGUAGUAGGUUGCUUCAUUUGUAAUCAACAAAUUAACCAAUCCAUUGCCAAUUUGCCAUGUUACCCAGUACUACUUGUCAGUCCAGCUAGCUAUCUGCAAUUUACUAAUUAAUGCAGCCUCCAGAUCUGGUUUGUUUCACCCAGCCUAUAAAACCACACAAUAUGUACCUCCAGUUUUGCACACAACACACACACAAAGCACAACAGCUAGCUGCAACCACAAGUAGGCUGUAAUGGCGAGGCAUCGCCUCCUUGCCGUGCUCCUCAUCGGGAUAGUUGCAGCCUCCACCUUCAACCAAGCAGCUGCGGCUGGCCGAGGCCUUGCCGUUGUCGAGAAAUUUGCAGAGCUAGAGCCAAAGCCAGAAUCCAAACCAGAGCCAAUGCCCAAACCUAUGCCACACACAGAGCCAGAACCAUGCAAACCUGAACCGACGCCCAAACCCAAACCAAAGCCCGGACAGAAGCCUGAACCAGAACCCAAGCCCAAGCCGAUGCCAAAACCGAAGCCCGAGCCCUGCUCCAAACCAAAGCCGGGGCCUAAGCCCGAGCCGAUGCCAAAACCUGAACCAAAGUCGGAGCCCAAGCCUAAACCUGAACCGAAACCAAAGCCGCCUCCAAAGUGCAAACCACCAACAACUCACAAUUGAUGGGAUACUAUAUACGAGAGUUGAUGGAGGAGACCCCGCACGGAGCCACACUAUGCUAUUUCUAGAAUAAGUGGUGUAGUAUUCCUUGUGUUCCAUUUCUUUCUAUUUUCCCAUGUGAGCGUGAUGAGUACUAGUAGUGUGUAAUUACUAUUUGGUUGUUGGUAUAUGUUCAUCUACUUUGUAUGUGACUUGACUCGCGUUGUUCUUUUGAGUAUCUACGCAUGAUUGUAUUCAUUCACAUGAAUGAGCUAUUUUGUCAGUGGACUGCAGUCUGCUGUUUUUCCUAUGGGUUGCAAUCUCAGUUAUCUCUAUGGGAUUAUUUCAUAUUAUGUGGUCUUUUUUGGGGGGAAAGAUGAUGUCAACAAAAAGGAAGAGAAGGACUCCCUAAAUUGCAGCACGCAUAUGAAGUGUAUAUGCGGGUAUGUGUCUGGUGUUCUAGAUGUAUAAAGUGUACUCACAUGCCAGACAGCGGUUUUGUUCUCUACCCUUCGCCUAUGAACUAAGUCCCGACCAGGUGCGUUAGUAUUUGGUUUGAGCCCCGUUCCUACAUCCUGCUUGAGCCCCGUUCCUACCCUAGCGCCGCCACCACCAGGCGACUAGGGAGAGGCGAUCUUUUCCUCCGAUCUCCACCGGCCGGGGCGCUGGCCCCCUCUCCCUUCGGCCACUGCUCCGGCGGCAGGAGGGAGGGGGACCCCGUUCCUUCGCUCUGUAGUUAGGGUUUGGAUUUGUAGGUCGUGGUGCGUCGUUGGGGUGGUGGGAGCGGCACCUGGACGAAUAAAUCUGCUUCAACUCUACUCCCACACCGGCGGUGUCUUUCAUGGCGGCGUCUCGGAGUUGAUGGCAUCGUGUCUCUGUCGAUCCCUCAGAUCGGCAGCAUUAGGGUUCAUGGAUGAUGUUGGCGAGACGGCGGCGGCGACUCCAUCAGGUGUGUCUCUCCUUAUGCUCUGUCCCGGUUGCUGUGGCGUUGUCUCCGACGUCAUGGUGGAGCAGGGAGGUUUUGUCGUUCAGGAGUACGCGCAGGCGGUUGUCUACACAAGUGACAGCUGGAAGAUGGAGUAUCCUGUGUUGGGUCUGUGGUCGAAGGAUGCCAGUUCUGGUUUCCUCCUCCGACGUCGUCAUCGUCAUGCGGGGGUGUCAGUUCUGAAAUUCGAUGGCGUGUACGGGGACAUGUUGCCCCGGUCUGAUUCUGUCAACGGCUAUGGUUUUGUUUCUGGCAAACUACUUUGGAGGUCCGUAAAGCUGUUGAUCAGCGAUGAAGUCGCAUCGAGCUUUGGUGAAGAGGUGAUCUGUCUUUUUAUCCUUUGGUGGUCACUUCGGUGGUGUCCAAGGAAAGGGACAUGCGCUAGUAUUUUGCAUAAGAUUUUCCUAUCUUUUCAGUUAUGUAUGAUCGGUGCUUACAUGACUUGUAACUUGAUCUUUAUUCUAUUUCUAUAUAAAUGAGACACGUAUUAUCAUGAAAAAAAAGGUGCAUUAGUAGUUAUACCCAGGCUCUACUAGUGAGUUGGCUCCGUUGCUAGUUAUACUAGGUAAACAUCACACACAUUGCUACGGAAAUUUAAAGCAAUGAAAUUAUAAAAAAUAGCAUAUAUGUGAAUAAUACCAUACAACAUUCUCAACAUAUGACAAUAGAAAACCUAGAUGUAACUGGAGGGUGGAUGCAUGUUAUGUUGUCUUGUGACCUUCAAGUUUAAUUAUUUGUUGUUGAAAGAUAAUAAAUAGUAAAAAUAAUGAGGUGAAGAGCGUGCGUGUGUUUCAUGAUGUGGAGGGCUUGCAUAUGAUGGAAAGCGAAAAGUCAAAUGAUUACAUGCACCCUUGAUGAUGUGGAGGACUUGCAUGUGAUAAAAAAUGGUAAGUGAAAGUUGAUUGGUUGCAUGUCUUUCAUGAUGUGAUUAAUUUGCAUGUGCAUUUAAAUGGGAUGACUUACUUAGAUAUAUAGGAUAUAUGUGUGAAAGGUUACUGCAACCCCCCGGUAUAUAUGUGUGAAAGGUAAUUGCACCCCCUGGUAAAGAGAUAAGUGCCGGAGCUACCAAAAAAUUAUUGGGCAGGCCAAGGUGGCCCGUCCUAAAGGAAACACAUUUUUCUCUCUCAAAAGGCCCAAGUUUACCUAUACUAUGGCCACGUAAGGUAGAGUGGAAGAAAAGCUCUCACGUCGCCCCUCUCGGGCGACUCGGGAGCGGCCCCAAACCCUAGCCGCCACCUCCUCUCCUCCCUCCUGCCCCCUCCUCGCCGCCACCCGAGGAGCCUGCCGGCUGCCGCGCGUCUUCCGGUGAAGGUGGCGGCGAGGAUCUGCUGCCUCGCGCCGGCGUGAGGAGCUUUGGAAGCCAGGGCGGCGGCCCUGGGUGGAGAUGGAGGCGUCGAUUUCUCCGGUGGAUGAUGCGCGUAGGUGAUGGUCGUCCCUCCCGGCCGCGUGGGUGGCGUGAGGACGGCGAGGUCUUGCUGCAGCGGUGGGCGGCUCUCUUCCUCCCAGCCCCUUCCCUCCUGCAGUGGUCUCCUCUCGCCGAUCUGGUGGCUGGUUCGUCAGAUCUGGGCUUCGAGGAUGGGGCGGUGGAGACUUGGAACGGGGGAAACCCCUGGUCGAUUUCGCGUCGACCUCGACGCCGGCGGCGCUCCGGUGUCGUUCUCCCUCUUGAGGGCGGGUCGAGCUUCCAGAUCCGUCCCUCCUCCUCCUCCUCCCUUCCCCGGGCGAAAGCUUGGCCUUUUUGGCCGGACAGUGGAGGCGUUCUGGCGUCUCGGCCCUUCCUGGAGGCGCCGUUCAAGGGGUGGUUGGGGGUUGUGGACCUGGUGCGUGGUGGUGGGUGGCGGUGGUGGUACUCGGUUCCCCUGGUUGCCGACGUUGGUGGUGACGUGUAGGUUCUUCCGCAUCCUUCAGCGGCUCCUCACUUUGUUUGCUGGUUGGUCGCCGGCUGGCAGUGGGUGUCCGUGUGUUUGGCACGGUCUGGAAGAAGGGGAGAUAGUGGUCUCUCCUCCGGCAGUGGCCCGAGGCGGCGGCCGGUGCAGUCGAUGGUUUCCUUCACGCGGUCUGGAUCUUCAUGUUCACGGCUUUUGCUGUCGCCGGGUGGCUUCGGCCCUGCCGUUCUAGCUGUGCAAGAUCUCCGGCGGCUUGAUCGCAGUAUUUCUUGCUGCCUUAUUCUCUGUUGCUCUUGGUUGUAGUGAAUUUGGCAUGUCUUUUUCAGUUUUUGUCAAGUCUUUGCCUUUGUAAUUCAGCACCAUUGUAUCCUAGCCGGUUGAUGGCUUCAUUAAUUUGAAGUCGGGUCUUUGUGCCUUUUCUCUAAAAAAAAGUUUACAUAUACUAUUUGAUGUUUUGGCUAUGCAUUGGGCCGGCUAUAUAUGGCCCAUCUGGCCUUGCUUUAGCUCCACUAGUGGUCAAGACUAUAAGAAAACGCACCAUGAAAAAUAUUAUAACAAUUUUUCUCUUACUCAAUUCGCGACAAGAAAAAUCUCUCUAUGAUAGUGCUACACAACAUAUGAGAGACCAUAAUAAUCUCUCACCCAUCCCAUGGUGCUGGCAGGGUCAACUCUAUAAUUUUGAGAGCCCUUGUGUGAAAUUGGCAAAUUGAUAGUCUUUUUUUUCUUUUAUUGUGCAUGAAAACUCCUUUUAAGCAACAUUAUAGUAACCCUAAAACUGACAAGGAAAGAAAAUACAUAAGUAGAAUUUUAGAAAUCAGAGCGCUAACAUUUAACAUGCUUCAGCGAAUGGGUGGCUCUGGUAAUAUGGAUAUGGAUACGAGGAAUGAGAGGCCUAGAGAGUGAUAAGCUCAUGCUUCGUUGUCACAGACGCCCGAGGAGGCGAGACACCCACGUCGUCAAGCUUCGAGACAAACCUGUGAAGAUGAAGAUCACGAAUUACAAUUAGGAGAACUAGUGAUGCCAUGUGUCCGUGUUGCACACCGAUUAUGAUUCUUUUCCCUUUUAUGGACCAGUCAACCAACGGCUAAAGGCCUAAAGCUUCUUGAAGAGCGUGUAUACCUCAAUUUUAGGAGAGCUCCUUCUCACCGCUUAUAGUGCUCUUUCUUUUUUUUGCGAAAACACUUGUAUUACUCAACUCAUAAUGUCUUUACAAUCAUCAAGGGAAAUACCCAAGACCUCAUCUGGCCCAGAUCCCAGCCAGGUCAUAGUCCGCCCUCUACUCGAGCAAAUCUAGCCAAACUAUCACUAGCUUUAUUAUGGGCUCUCAAAACAUGAGUAAUACAAGUUCGUCUCAAAGGAAGCAGCAACCUUAUUUCAUUAACCAACGAGGCAUAGACUGAACGAUCAACUUCGCCGGAGCUUAUCAUGGAGACGGCCAAGCUUGAGUCUGACUCAAUGACAAUGGGCAGUUCUGAACUCUGUAUGGCGAGCGAAACGCCCUCCAUGAUAGCACAUAAUUCAGCUUCAACAACGUCUCUACAGGAAUAUAACACCCUGCAGCUUGACAAAAUAAUCACACCCCUGGAGUCUCGAAGAAUCAUACCAGCGCCCGCUUUAUCAUCCGUUACAAACGAUCCAUCUGUAUUCAAUUUCACCCAGCCAACAUCCGGUGGCUUCCACCUACAUUCAGGGUCCGUUCGCUGAUGUUGCACCUGUACGGAAGACAUAUGAUCCAAGGAAACGAAUCCCUUGCCUUUAGCCGGGUCCAUUCCUGGAUUUUGUUUGAUCCCAAUCAACUCUUCCAAAUACCUUUUCAGAAAACUAACAGAGACAUCCAUAGCGGGAGCUGGUUUAAAGUGCACUACUUCAUUUCGAACAUACCAACUUCUCCAUAGUGCUCAUUAGUGCCGUAGCGCACAAGAGCCCGCGCGCAUGUGUCAUCCCAUUAAAAGGCAAAGCGGUUGCUCACCUGGCCACCCACUACACUCUUUUUUCGCCAGCCUUUUUUUUCCUGGAAUUGCUCUGUUAUUCAAUGAAAAAAUGCCACCGGUUUUCUAAAUUUAAAAAUUCAUGAAUAUGAAAUAUUUCACAAAUUUGAAAAACAAUUAUGGUUUGAAGAGAAUGAAUGCAAAAACAUUGAAAAUUUUGAAAAAAAUCACAAAUUCAUUUUUUGUGAAUUCGAAAAAAGUUGAUUCAAAAAAGUUUGUGAAAUUUGAAAAAAAAAUCUCAUGAAUAUGAAAAAAUGGUCAAAAUUUGAAAAAAUAUGGUAGAGAAGUUUAACAUUCAAAUAAUCAGAAAAAGAGAAAAAAGGCGGAAGAGUAAAAAAGAAAAAUCAGGCCGAAAGUUUCCAUAGCCAAAGUUGGCCCAUAAGCUUCUGGAAGCUUCCUAAAAUCGAGAGGAGGGAGCUUCCGCUCAUGUGAAUGCCAUAGAUUGGGCAGCCCUUUUACAAUCUAUUGAAGGAAGAGAUGUGUGCGCUUUCUGCCAAUAACUUGGAAACCAAUGCUAAAUAGCAUAUUUCCACUUUUAGCGUGGCAUAGAACGGAAUUCAACUAUAGAUCCACGAUAUGGGCAAAUCCCAACAUUUUUUCUAACAAGCUACUUUUUUCUAUAGGGGCAGAUGUCUCACUCUAACUACGAGUAGGAUUUUUUUGUUCUUAUUUUCACAUUUUUCUUUUCAUUUUUCCUAAUUUUCUAUUAAACGCUCUAUAACAUAUAUGGGUGAUCAUAUAGCUUAAUAAGUGUUCAUGUACUUUAAAAAAUUUCAUCACGUAUUUAUAAAACGUUUUCAAAUAUGAAACAUUUUUAAAAUACACAUACAAUUACAGAAGUGUUCAUAUUUUUCUGAAAAUAUACACUAUGAACAUUUUGAACAAUACGGAUGAAGAUUUAUUUUAAUACAUGAUGAACCUUUGAAAUCACAACAUUUUCUAAAAAUACACAAUGAUUUUUAUAUACACAAUAAAUAUGUUUUUCAUACACGAUGAACAAUUUGUAAAAACAUGAGUGAACAUUGCCAAACUCCGAUGAGGGAGGGGCGAUGAUGGUAGUACGCCUCCGGCUUGCUCGAGUGAUUGUAAACAUUGCUAGGUGGUCUACGGACCUAGACAUAAGUUGUAUUACCUCUGGUGUUCUUGUACUGACAUAAUGGUUGAUAAGUAAAUUGGAUUUUUUUUCAUAAUUUUAUUCAGAAAAAUGUUCAACAUGUCUUACAAAUUGUUCCAGAGAUUAAGAAAAAUAUAUUCGCAUUUUUCAAAAAGAACUGUACAUUUCAAUUUUUUCACAUGUUUAGAAUAUUGUUCAUGAAUUAUAAAAAAAUGUGUUAUUACAUUUUUGGACAGAUGUUUGUGGUAUAUAAAAAUUGUUCAUCAUGUAUUUAUAAAACAAUCAAACUUGUAUUAAAAAAAUAUUCUAUGUGUAUCUAAAAAUGUUUAUUAUUUUUAAUAAUUUCAAUGUGUAUUUGGAAAAUUGGAAAAAAAAAUGAAACAAUGAACAGGAAAAGUAAAGAGAAACCAAAAAUGAAAAACCUAAACAAACCCAAUAAACAAGAGAAAUAAAAAAACCAGACAAGAGGUUAUGAAAUCACAAGCAACAAACAAAUGCUAUAGACCUCCACCACUACUAGGCCACAGCCCACACCGCAUCGCCAAAGGUGAGCGCCUCGCAGUAGACAGAGACAUAGCAUUUGCGCAAAAUGACUACACACGUUGAACAAACUGUCCGCUUUCAUGCACUUUGGGUGGAGCUUAUCAUGGAGUGUGUAUCUUCAGUAAGCUAUAUGGUCCGGUUCAAUAAUACAGAAACUGAAGAAUUUGCUCCCACGAGAGGGCUCAGACAGGGUGGCCCAUUAUCACCUUAUUUAUUUCUCUUGUGCUCUGAGGGUCUUUCAAGCUUAUUAGCUCAUGAACAGGAAAUUGGAGGAGUGGAAGGGGUCCGUGUUUGUAGAAAUGCCCCCCUAUCUCACAUUUACUGUUUGCAGAUGACUCCUUGAUCCUAAUGAAGGCGGACUCACAUAAUGCAAGUACACUCAAAAGUGUUCUUGACACAUAUUGUGCUAGUUCUGGGCAACUAGUUAGUAAUGCUAAAUUGAGUAUAUUUUUUAGUCCUAAUACUAAUGUCAAUACCAGGGAGAAUGUGUGUAGAGAUUUAAAUAUUGAGACAGAAGCUCUAUCUGACACAUACUUAGGUCUCCCUACAAUGGUGGGAGUCGACAGAACUGACUGUUUCCAGCACUUGAUCGAUAGAGUUUGCCAGAGGUUGAAGGGAUGGAAGGAGAAGACACUCUCGAUGCAAGGUAAAGAGGUACUGGUAAAGUCGGUAGCCCAAGCAAUACCUUCUUAUGCAAUGUCAGUUUUUAAAUUGCCUAAAGGAAUUUGUAAGUCUAUCACCGAUGAAAUUGUUGGGUUCUGGUGGGGUGAGAAUGCGGAGAAAAACAAAAUGCAUUGGUUUGCAUGGUGGAGGUUGUGUAUUCCGAAGAAGGAAGGGGGUUGGGUUUUAGAGACUUGCACAGUUUUAAUCUUGCUAUGUUAGCAAAACAGUGUUGGCAACUAAUCCAAAAUCCGGAUUCUUUGUGUGCGCAAGUUCUGAGGGCAAAAUAUUACCCAGAUGGCGACAUAUUGAAAGCUGGACCAAAAAAGGGCUCUUCUUAUACUUGGCAGAGUAUUGUCGCAGGUAUUCAGACAUUUAAGUGGGGUUGUAUUUGGUGUGUUGGAAGUGGAUCUCAAAUUGAUAUCUGGCAUGAUCCAUGGAUUCCAUCAAGUGUCACAAGGAAAGUAAUCACGAAUAGGGGUGCAACAAUACUUUCAAAGGUUGAUGAGUUAAUAAAUCCGUACACAGGCCAGUGGGAUGAGGAUCUAAUUUGUGAUGUUUUCUCUCCUGUCGAUGUUCAUAGGAUAUUACAAAUCCCCUUGAAUUAUCACUUGACAGAAGACUUUGUGGCUUGGAACUAUACAUGAUCAGGCACGUUUUCCGUGCGAUCGGCUUAUCAUAAGGAGUUUGAACAUCAACAAGGGGCACAGUGGGUGCGAGCUGAUGGGCAAGGCACAGAAAAUAUAAAUCCAGUUUGGAAGGAUAUGUGGAAGCUGAAAAUACCAGGGAAGAUAAAACAUUUUGCAUGAAAAGUUUUGCAUGGCGCCCUCCCAUGCUUUGGUGUAUUAGCAAGCCAACAAAUCCCAUGCUCAUCUCAAUGUCCAAUUUGUUUAGUGGGAGCAGAAGACAUUCAACACUGCUUAUUUAAGUGCCGACGAGCGACGGAUGUUUGGGAGCGGCUGGGCUUGCUACAAGUCAUACGGAAAGCUGUGGCCGAGGACAGAUCAGGAUCUAUUACGAUGGAAAUUUUAUCAAAGCUUCAGGGCAAUGAUGCGGAGGUACCAACGGCGGAGCUUACUGUUGUAGCAGCAUGGUAUAUAUGGUGGCAGCGCCGACAGAUAGUAAAGAGAGUCAAAGUCCAAACGCCGGAAAAAACUGCGCUAGCCAUCAAGAUUUUGGCGACAAAUUACCUCAGGUCAGAUAUACCCAAAGGACCAAUAAGGAAGAAUGACCACAUGUGGAGGAAACCAGGAUAUGGGAUCGUGAAGAUAAAUGUUGAUGCUUCCUUUCAGUAUGAAACACUUUCAGGUGCUUGUGGUGCUGCGGCUCGGGACGACCGGGAUGAUUUUAUUGCUGCAGCAAGUUGGUUUGUUCCAAACAUCAGUGGAGUUGACUCAGCUGAGCUAACUGCUAUCAGAAACGGGAUAUACUUGGCAACUCACAUUGGAUGCAACAACAUAGAAAUUGAAUCAGAUUGUUCCUUCGCAGUGGACUCGCUGAACCAAGUUGAUGAUUAUUUAGGCCUGGAGGUAGCUAUCAUCACAAAGUGUAAACAACUUAUGAUGGACUUUGCGUCCAUAUCCUUCAGACAUUGCUAUAGAGAGGCCAAUCAGGUGGCAGAUGAAUUAGCAAAGAACUCUUUUACUACUGGAUCCUCUAGUUCUUGGGAUGAUGAGAUCCCUGAUUUUAUUUCUCAUCUGCUUGUAAAUGACAUGUCUAUUAUUUGAGAAAUAAAGUCUAUUUGCAGUUCAAAAAAAAACUGCCCGCUAGCUAGUUAUUAGAAAGGCAUGUAACUUAAUUCAAACUCAACAAAAUUAUAGGUACAAUGCUUUGGAUCAUAGAUACAAGAAAUUACAAAAUAACUCAUAUAACUAAGAAUUACAAUAAAACCCUCUUGAAUCAAAAUAUGAUAAACAGAGGAAAAAAAUUAGCACAUAUAAUCCUUACUCUAUCCAAAUAUAUGGCGGUGCUAAACUGAGCAGCCCCAUUAGUUUUGGAGCUCCGGCUCCAUGGAGUCCUUUUUGGAAAAUCAUACAUGCAUAACUAAACACCCGCAUGCAUGAGGCUGGAGAAUCAGGGCCAUGCAACAUCAAUAUAGGUUAAUUUGUCGGAGAGUUGUAAGAUUUAAUAAUUUAAGACAAUACGCAUAAUAAAAUCCCCACUAGUGAAGUGUCAAAAACCCUCUUAUAUUGUGGGACACAGGGAGUACAAUUUUAAAACUGUGCCCAGUAUACCGGACCAGAGGGAGAGCUUGAGAAAACACUGAGUCAGAAAAAACUUACUAAGCAGACCAUGGAGCCUUAGAGCAUCUCCAGUCGUGCCCCAGAACGGCCUCCCAAGGCGAUUUUUUUGCGCCGGUGCCAAAAAACGGUCCACUCGCGUCCUCAGGAGCCCGUUUUUCACUGACUUGGGCCGAAAUCAGCGUAGGCGGACCCAGGCCGAACCCGAUGCGUCUUGGGGGGGGGGCGCCCGGGGGCGCCGGGGCGAGUGUUUUGGCGCAAACAGCCGCGGGCCCGCCGAGUCAGCGAGACGGCCGCUUCGUCGACCUCAUCGCCUCGGUUCCCGCGGGAAUCAAUACAAAGGUUGUCGCGCCGGUCAGCCUUCAUUUGAUGCCUCACGGGCGACGGAGUGAAGACACCGCCGACGCGGGUCCCGCCCGCAUGCCGCCGCCCCGCCACCCCGCUUCGGCUAUAAAAGGCGCCCCCUUCCCGCCGGUGAGCGCAAUAGCCUCCCCCACUCCCUCCCGCGAAAGCCUUCUCCCCGCCGGCGAGCUCUCACGCCACUUCCCCCUGCCCGCCGACGAGCGAAACCAUGACGGAGAGAUACCCAGGCAACGGCGCAGCGGCAAAUGGCUUCGGCCGCCGGCACCUCCAGGAGCUGGAGGCGCGCCUUCUGUACGAGGCCGAGUACCCGGCGCCCCCCGACAUGCGCGUGUCGGGUUCGUGGAGGCUGAGCGUCGGAGGCGUCCCGGUGCCGCCGGUGCCCAAAGGGGCGGCAUGGCGGGCGGAGAUCGCCCGCAUCCACUCGUCGCUGACAGAGGAGCAGAGGAACGAGCCGAGGUACGCGCCCGAUAGCGAAACGCUGUGGACGUUGUACUUCGAGUGCCACCGCGAGGAGCAGAUCGCCUCCGUCAACGGCAUCAUCUCCCACGGCCGCCUCAACUCUGAAGGACGGCGUGAGUGGUGGGGCGUCCCCGACCGCACACUCGACGCCGUCGUCGACCACAUCGAGACUGACAAUGUGCCGCGGCUAGAGUACCCGGCGCGACCCUCCUUCUCUCGCCGCCGUGGCAGUUCCUGGAUGUCGCGGCGAAUGGAGCCGGGGUCGUCCUCGUCGUCGGGCUCCGGCUCGCCGACCCUCCGCCCCGCCAAGCCUGAGCCGGAGGGGGCACCGCUCGGGCGCCGCGCUCGCAGCAGCGCCCUCGUCAUCAACGAGCCCUCGCCUGCGGCGGCGCCGGCAAGGCGCUCCCUCCGCCUGGUCCGGCCGAAGCCCGAGCCGGAGAUGCUCCCCGUGAAGCCGGAGCACGCUGGCAUGGUGGCCCCCGACGACAAGUCCGCCCUCAAAUGGGUGAGGGAGGACUACGUCCGCGAACAGAUGCGCCACCAGCGUCGGGCGUACCUGGACACCCAGGCCAGUAGCCGCGCCGAGGCCCGUCGCCGCACCGAGGAGGGCGGCGUCAUCGUCAUCGACAGCGACGACGAGGACGAGGCUGGGCCGUCAAGCGCUGUCGGCGACCACGGCGAGGGAUGCAGCAGGGACGCUGCAGGCGAGGUGCGCGACGACGACGACGACGACGGCAGCGGCGGUGGCUACACCCACUUCUACAGGCUUCUCGGCAUAUAGACGGCGACUGUGGCGGCAGCGGCUAGGCUUUUUAGUUCGUUUUUAAGUUAGUUCAUGCAUGUUUUUAAGUUUUUGUACAAAUUUCGACAAAAAAAGGCCGAGUUCAUGCAAAAGUCGCCGAGGUUGCAAAAAAAUUAAAACGAGCUUCGCCGAACCCGCAGCGACCGUGGGCCUGUGACUGAGAGCGAACCGAACCCCAGGGGGCGAUCUAGCGCUGGCUCGCCCCCAUGCCGGUCUUUUGCAGCACCCUGGGGGCCGAACGGCUGGAGAUGCUCUUAGGGCUUCCAACAGGCUCCAGCGAGUUCCUUUCCAGAGAACUUUGUUUCUUGUAUCUCCACGUGGUGAAGCUCACGCACGAGGUGGCUGCACGAUCGGGUCAGUUCCUUUCCGGAGACCUUUCCUUUCCAUUGUGAAUUGAACUGAAGCGAUUGCUUUUUUACUUUGUAUUGCAUUGCACAAAGGUGUACACAUGCUUGAGGUUGCAUGCUUGAUCUGGAGACUCCCCCUCCUCCUCCCCCUCCCUCCCCCGUGCGGCAGCGCCGCCCCGCACCGGGGAGCCCCUGCCCUCCUCCUACAGCCGCGCCUCACCUCUGCUCCCCUCCGCCGUCGUCGCCCGGGGCGUCACAGGGCAAAGCCCUUAUGGCGUGGCGGCGACGGCGGUUUUCUCCUUGGAUCUUGAUCUGGUUGGGAGGCGGCGCUCCUUUCCGGCCAGAUCGGCGGCGGUGGCGCAGAUCGGCGGCGACACGGAUGUGGUACGGUGGCGGUGGAGGACGGCACCAGCAACGGCGGAUCUGGCCUUGACUCAGUCGGGCUAAUUCGUUGUGCUACCGAUCUUAAUCACCGUCUGCGGUGCACUGCUCCUCGACUUGAUCUGCAACACGAGGAUGUCUGGGGCGCCGACCCUAGGCUUGGUGGUGGUGGCCUUCUUCUUCAUCGGAGUUGGUCGGUCGGUUGGCUGUGCUUGCAUGGUCAUGGCGGCGGAGGUCGCAGUGGCUAGUGGCUUAGCCGGUCAGCGGCGACGGAACAUGGCCGGUGGCAGCGGCAAUGUUCUGUCUGGAUCCCCGGGUAGUGGCCCUGGAUGGUGGCGGCCGGUGAAGCUAGGGCUUCCCGCGGCGGCAUGGUGUGGUGCAGUCCCUGUCCAAGGCAGAUCUGUGACGGCGAUCUGAUCUACGGAUUGGUUCGGAUCAGAGACGGUGACGAGCACGGGAUCCAUCUCGGAGGCUCCCGCGGCUUAGCGAGGCGGGGUAGGAGCCCUCCUCCUAGGCUCUAGUGGUGGCACACUUAGGCAGUGGCCGGUGCGCUAGGGCUCCUACGGCGGCACUGUUGUUGCGGUUGGUCGCCGGAUCUAGGCGGCUAGAUCUAGGGUUCUGAGGGCGGUCGAGACGAUGCACAGGUUGUCAGGUGGACUACUUGUGAUGGAUCCGGGUGAAAACCUGGUCUUCAGUCGAUGGUCGGAGCCGGUGAUGACGAUGCCCUUAUCAUUGUUUUCUUCAUGAAGGCAUCAUCGAGGUGAAGCUCCCAGCUCCACUCAAUACCUCCGGGGAAACCCUAGAUCAGCUGAUUGGAUGUUGGCAGCAAUCAUGUGUCGUUACCCCCUUGGGGGCGGCAUUCUUGGAGGUGCACUCGUUCUUGCGGGACCAGCGGACGGCUUCUUUGGUGGAGCGGUGCUUCAUCCUGCACAUUGAUGGCGACGGAUCUCGGCGACGUGGCGCAGUGCAGAUUCGGCGUUCGAUGUGUUAGGAUGGACUCACGCAGGAGGACAACGUUGUCUGGCGUCGUGGUGGCGUCGAUGGCAGAGAGACCUGGCACGGUAGAUGCAACAGUACAACUCUAAAGAUGGACUGGUGGCAGGUGGCUGCGGCGGCUCAUACCCGGCAGGCGUCCUGGUUGAGGAAUGCGCCGGACUUGUAGGUGCCCCAUAUCCGGCAGGCGUCCUGCUUGGGACCGCAGGUCUUAGAUGUUUAGGUUUGACUGCGAGGUCUGUUUGGUAUUAGGUCCAGACUAUCAGCAUCCUUUCAUCAACUGGAUAGGAGUAGCGACAGAUAUUGCCUAGACGGUGGCUUUAGUCUUACUGUUGUAUGACUUUGUAAGGUCUUGUGUGAAUAAUUAAUAAAAUGAUUGCAUGCAUCGUCCAGAUGCAGAGGCCGGGGGCCCUCCUCCAUUUCUAAAAAAACAAAGAUGUACACUGUCUAUCUUAAUUUCUAAAUGAUGGCCGGUCACAUGGACGUGUGAGCAGGGGAUUGACAAGGCAACUAGCAGAAUUCUAUUACUACGAGGAGGCAACUGAUAAAGUAAAAAUAUUGUUACUCACCCUACUAUCAUCAGAUGGAGACACGCACGCAGAAUCCACUGGACAAGGCGACUAACAUAAUUCUAUUACCACGAGGAUGCAACUAAUAGAGUAAAAAUAUUGUUACUCACACGUACUACCACCACAAAAGACACACACGCAGAAUCCAGCUGUACUUAUUAACACGUCUAGCUACCUACGUGUGGUUUCUUCAUUUGUAAUCAACUAAUCAACCAAUAUAACUCCACCGACAUGUUAUACAGUACUACUUGUCACUCCAGCUAGGUAACUGCAAUGCUAAUUAAUGCAGCCUCCAGAUCUGGUUUGUUUCACCCAGCCUAUAAAACCACACAAUAUGUACCUUCAGUUCUCACACAACACACACACACAAAGCACAGCAGGUGCAACACUAACUGCAAGCACAAGAAGUAGGCAGCAAUGACGAAGCAUCGCCUCCUCGCCGUGCUCCUCAUCGGGAUAGUUGCAGCCUCCUCUUUCAACCAAGCAGCUACGGCUGGCCGAGGCCUUGCUGUUGUUGAGAAGUUCGCAGAGCUAGAGCCAAAGCCAGAACCCAAACCAGAGCCAAUGCCCAAACCUAUGCCACACCCAGAGUCAGAGCCCUGCAAACCUGAACCGCUGCCCAAACCCGAACCAAAGCCUGGACAGAAACCUGAACCAGAACCCAAGCCCAAGCCGAUGCCAAAACCAAAGCCAAAGCCCAAGCCCUGCUCCAAACCGAAGCCCGAUCCUAAGCCCGAGCCAAUGCCGAAACCCGAACCAAAGCCGGAGCCCAAGCCUAAUGAACCGAAACCGAAGCCGCCUCCUAAGUGCAAACCACCGACAGCUCACAACUAAUGGGAUACUUGUAUAUGACAGUUGAUGGAGGAGACCCCAUACGGAGCCACACUGUGCUAUUUCUAGAAUACGUGGUGUAGUAUUCCCUGUAUUCCAUUUAUUUGUAUUGUUCCAUGCAUGUGUGAUGAGUAUUAGUACUCUGUACUUAUUAUUUGCUUGUUGGUAUAUGUUCAUCUACUUUGUAUGUGACUUGACUCGUUGUUCUUUUGAGUAUCUACGCAUGAUGGUAUUCAUUUUCAUGAAUGAGCUAUUUUGUCAGUGAUCUGCAGUCUAUGUUGUUUUCUCUAUGGCGUGCAGUCUCAGUUAUUUUCUCUAUAGGAUUGUUUCAUUAUUAUGUGGUCUUUUUUGGCGGAAAAGAUGAUGUCAACAAAAGGGAAGAGAAGGCCUCCUAAAUAGCAGCACACAUAUGAAGUGUAUAGUGUGCACGUACGUGUCUGGUGUUCUAGGUGUCUAAAGUGUACUCAUACGCCAGACAGCGGUUUUGUUCUCUACCCUUCGCCUAUGAACUAAGUCCCGACCAGGUGCGUUAGUAUUUAUACCCAGGCUCUACGAGUGAGCUGGCUCCGUUGCUAGUUAUUCUAGGUAAACGUCACACACAUUGCUACGGAAAUUUAAAGCAAUGAAAUUAUAAAAAAUAGCAUAUAUGUGAAUAAUACCAUACAACAUUCUCAACGUAUGACAAUAGAAAACCUAGAUGUAACUGGAGGGUGGAUGCAUGUUAUAUUGUCUUGUGACCUUCAAGUUUAAUUAUUUGUUGUUGAAAGAUAAUAAAUAGUAAAAAUAAUGAGGUGAAGAGCUUGCGUGUGUUUCCUGAUGUGGAGGGCUUGCAUAUGAUGGAAAGUGAAAAGUUGAAUGAUUACAUGCACCCCUGAUGAUGUGGAGGACUUGCAUGUGAUGAAAAAUGGUAAGUGAAAGUUGAUUGGUUGCAUGUCCUUCAUGAUGUGAUUAAUUUUCACGUGCAUUUAAAUUUGAUGACUUACUUAGAUAUAUAGGAUAUAUGUGUGAAAGGUAACUGCACCCCCCCCCCUCUGGUAUACACUCCCUCCGUUCCAAAAUAGAUGACUCAACUUUGUACUAACUUUAGUACAAAAGUAGUACAAAGUUGAGUCAUCUAUUUUGGAACGGAGGGAGUAUGUGUGAAAGGUAAUUGCACCCCCUGGUCAAGAGAUUAGUGGCGGAACUACCCGCAAAAUAUUGGGCAGGCCGAGGCGGCCCAUCCUGAAGGAAAACACAUUUUUAUCUCUCAAACACUAGUAGAAAAGGGGGCAUUGGUCCAGGCCGGGUCAGCGCUUUAGUCCCGGUUCAAUCCAGAACCGGGACCAAUGGGGGCAUUGGACCCGGUUCGUGAGCCCCGGGGGCCGGCCGGGCCACGUGGGCCAUUGGUCCCGGUUCAUCUGGACCUUUUGGUCCCGGUUGGUGGGACGAACCGGGACCAAUGUGCCUUGCUCCUGGCCCACCACCACUGGUCCCGGUUGGUGGCAUGAACCGGGACCAAAGGCUUCCCUUUCGUCCCGGUUCAAGCCACGAACCGGGACCAAUUAAUUGCCUAUAUAUACCCCUCGCCCGCGAGCAGAGCACUCUCACUGCUCUGUUUUUCGUGGACGGCGAGGAGAGAGCUUUGUGGUGCUCUAGCUCACCUCCUAUGCACACGAGGUGUUUGAUGGAAUGCCCGAGGCACACUACUUAAGCUUUCUCCUCUCCAAGCUCGACCUCCAAGCUCCAUUUUCCUCAAUAUUUGUCUACGUUUAGCGGUCCGUCACGUCCCGUCCCCGUCUUCACCGUCGUCGAUCGCCCGCGCUGAUCUCGUCGCCGGCACCACCGUGGUGAGCCUCUUGUUCUUAUCUUCUUUCUGAAAGGAAAAAAAAUUCUUACUUGUAUGUUUAUAUAGAUACUUGUAUAAUUUUCUUACUUUUAUUAUUGCAUCUUAUAUAGUGCGAUGGUUUUGGUAUCCGCCCCCGUCGGUCCUCAUCCUGUCUAUGAUUCGGAUGUGGUAUAUAUUAUCUUUUCAUAACUAUUGGUUCAUCUAUUGUUUAUGACAAUUAUGCCGACCAACGUGACAUAGAUUUUAUUUAUCUAGGAGGUUGUUGAACCGGAAAUUCCAACCGACCCUAUUGUCGAGAGGUUAAAUUUAGUUGAAGAAGAAAACAGUUUCUUGAAGGAAAAAAUAGAAAAAUUGAGGAGGAGAAGAUGAUAUUGGAGUUGCAUGUUGCGGAUGUCGUGGAUGAUCACAAGAUCAAGAUGGAUGCAAUGCGCUUGAAGAUUAGAAAAAUUAGAAAAUAUGCCAUUCAUACCGAGGCUUGGUAUCAUUAUGCCGUUGGAUCAGUUGUUACAUUGGUUGCGAUUAUGAUUGCAUUUGUUUUCGCAUUGAAAUGUUUUACAUAGUUUCAAUGUAUGGUUUAAUUAAUUUACAUGCUCUGCAGAGCUUUAUGUUGUUAGAUGAGAACUAUGUAUGUACUUUGGUUUUAAUGUGAUGAUGAACUUCUAUUAAUUUGGUCACUUAAUUAUCUAUUCAUGAUGUUCUGUAAUGAUUUUUGACACACUUGAUUAUAUAUAAUGCACGCAGAUGAACCGGCAAUGGAUGUACGGUUCAAGACACACCUCCGAGUACAUUAAGGGCGUGCAUGAAUUUCUCGAAGUGGCUGAGGCAAACAAGCAGAAUGGUUUUAUGUGUUGUCCAUGCCCUAUAUGUGGAAAUACAAAGUCUUACUCUGACCGGAAAAUCCUUCACACCCACCUGCUUUACAAGGGUUUCAUGCCACAUUAUAAUGUUUGGACGAGGCACGGAGAAAUAGGGGUUAUGAUGGAGGACGGUGAAGAAGAAAAGUACGAUGACAACUAUGUGCCCCCUGAAUACGUGAUGCUACUGAAGAUCAAGAGGAACCAGACGAUGUGCACGAUGAUGCUGCAACAGGCGAAGCUGCUAAAGAUCAAGAGGAACCAGACGAUGUGCCCGAUGAUGAUGAUCUCCGCCGGGUCAUUGUCGAUGCAAGGACGCAAUGCGAAAGUCAAAAGGAGAAGCUGAAGUUCGAUCGCAUGUUAGAGGACCACAAAAAAGGGUUGUACCCCAAUUACGAAGAUGGCAACACAAAGCUCGGUACCGUACUGGAAUUUCUGCAGUGGAAGGCAGAGAAUUUUGUGCCUGACAAAGGAUUUGAGAAGCUACUGAAAAUAUUGAAGAAGAAGCUUCCAAAGGAUAACGAAUUGCCCGACAGUACAUACGCAGCAAAGAAGGUCGUAUGCCCUCUAGGAUUGGAGGUGCAGAAGAUACAUGCAUGCCCUAAUGACUGCAUCCUCUACCGCGGUGCGUACAAGGAUCUGAACGCAUGCCCGGUAUGUGGUGCAUUACGGUAUAAGAUCAAGCGAGAUGACCCUGGUGAUGUUGACGGCGAGCCCCCCAGGAAGAGGGUUCCUGCGAAGGUGAUGUGGUAUGCUCCUAUAAUACCACGGUUGAAAUAUCUGUUCAGAAACGGAGAGCAUGCCAAGUUGAUGUGAUGGCACAGUGAGGACCGUAAGAAAGACAGGAAGUUGAGAGCACCCGCUAACGGGUCGCAGUGGAGAAAAAAUCGAGAGAAAGUACUGGGAUGAGUUUGCAAGUGACCCAAGGAACGUAUGGUUUGCUUUAAGUGCGGAUGGCAUUAAUCCUUUCGGGGAGCAGAGCAGCAAUCACAACACCUGGCCCGUGACUCUAUGUAUGUAUAACCUUCCUCCUUGGAUGUGCAUGAAGCGGAAGUUCAUUAUGAUGCCAAUUCUCAUCCAAGGCCCUAAGCAACCCGGCAACGACAUUGAUGUGUACCUAAGGCCAUUAGUUGAAGAAUUUUUACAGCUGUGGAAUGGAAACGGUGUACGUACGUGGGAUGAGCACAAACAGGAGGAAUUUCACCUAAAGGCGUUGCUGUUCGUGACCAUCAACGAUUGGCCCGCUCUCAGUAACCUUUCAGGACAGACAAACAAGGGAUACCACGCAUGCACGCACUGUUUACUUAACACCGAUAGUAUAUACCUAGGAAGCUGCAGGAAGAAUGUGUACCUGGGCCAUCGUCGAUUUCUUCCGACCAACCAUCAAUGUCGAAAGAAAGGCAAGCAUUUCAAAGGCGAGGCAGAUUACCGGAGGAAGCCCGCCAUGCGUACCAGUGUCACGUACUUGCUAUGGUCAAUGAUUUACACGUAAUCUUUGGAAGGGGUCCCGACGGACUAGCUGUUCCGAGUGACGCUGGGGGACACGCACCCAUGUGGAAGAAGAAAUCUAUAUUUUGGGACCUACCCUACUGGAAAGACCUAGAGGUCCGCUCUUCGAUCGACGUGAUGCACGUGACGAAGAACCUUUGCGUGAACCUGCUAGGCUUCUUGGGCGUGUAUGGGAAGACAAAAGAUACAGCUGAGGCACGGGAGGACCUGCAACGUUUGCACGAAAAAGACGGCAUGCCUCCAAAGCAGUAUGAAGACCCUGCCAGCUAUGCUCUUACCAAAGAAGAGAAGGAAAUCUUCUUUGAAUGUCUGCUUAGUAUGAAGGUCCCGACUGGCUUCUCGUCGAAUAUAAAAGGAAUAAUAAAUAUGUCAGAGAAAAAGUUUCAGAACCUAAAGUCUCAUGACUGCCAUGUGAUUAUGACGCAACUGCUUCCGGUUGCAUUGAGGGGGCUUCUACCGGAAAACGUCCGAUUAGCCAUUGUGAAGCUAUGUGCAUUCCUCAAUGCAAUCUCUCAAAAGGUGAUUGAUCCAGAAAUCAUACCAAGGCUAAGGAGUGAUGUGGUGCAAUGUCUUGUCAGCUUCGAGCCGGUGUUCCCACCAUCCUUCUUCAAUAUCAUGACGCACGUCCUAGUUCAUCUAGUUGACGAGAUUGUCAUUCUGGACCCCGUAUUUCUACACAAUAUGUACCCCUUUGAGAGGUUCAUGGGAGUCCUAAAGAAAUAUGUCCGUAACCGCGCUAGGCCAGAAGGAAGCAUCUCCAUGGGCCAUCAAACAGAGGAUGUCAUCGGGUUUUGUGUUAACUUCAUUCCUGGCCUUAAGAAGAUAGGUCUCCCUCAAUCGCGGUAUGAGGGGAGACUGACUUGAAAAGGCACGCUUGGAAGGGACUCAAUAAUAUGCAGGGACGGAUAUUCUUGGUCUCAAGCACGCUACACAGUUCUAUAGAACUCUACCUUGGUGACCCCGUAUGUCGAUGAACAUAAGAACAGUCUGCGCUCCAAACACCCGGAGCACUGCGACGACUGGAUUACAUGUGAACACAUCAGGACUUUUAGUAGUUGGUUGGAAGCACGUCUCAGAGGUGACAACACUGUUUGUGAUGAGCUGUACUUGUUGUCCAGGGGACCAUCUUCGACUGUUACGAUUUGGAAAGGAUACGAGAUAAAUGGGAAUACAUUUUACACGAUUGACCAAGAUCAAAAGAGCACCAACCAAAACAGCGGUGUCCGCUUUGAUGCAACAACCGAGAGGGGAAAGGACACAUAUUAUGGUUACAUAGUGGACAUAUGGGAACUUGACUACGGACAUGAUUUUAAGGUCCCUUUGUUUAAGUGCAAAUGGGUCAAUCUGUCAGGAGGCGUGGUACAGGUAGACUCACAGUACGGAAUGACAACAGUGGAUCUGAAAAAUCUUGGGUACAGUGAUGAACCGUUCGUCCUAGCCAAUGAUGUGUCACAGGUUAUCUAUGUGAAGGACAUGUCUACCAGACCGAGAAAAAGAAAAGAUAAGGAAGCGAAUACAUCAUACGAUGAGCCAAAGUGCCACAUAGUUCUUUCAGGAAAAAGGGACAUCGUGGGAGUGGAGGGCAAGACAGACAUUUCUGAAGAUUAUAAAAAGUUUCAUGAAAUUCCUCCCUUCAAAGUCAAGGCUGACCCCAGCAUCCUGAUAAGCGAUGAAGAUUAUCCAUGGUUACGGCGCAAUAAGCAAAUGACACAAGCGAAGAAAAAGUGAAGACUUUCUCCCGCAACUAUUAUGAUGAUACCAUGCCAACUUUGUAACACACGAGUAUGAUACCAUUGUCCAUUUUGUACAUGCACAUGCUAUAUAUGUGGGUGAAUUUAUGAUACCAUGCCAACUUUCAACUUUUUCAUAUUUCAUUAGAAACAAAGCAAGAAAAAAACAAAAAAACAAAAAAAAGUGUUUUCAAAUUUGGAAAUUAAUGGCACUAAUAGAAAGUUUAUAAUUUUUCUAAAACUAAAAGCAAAAAGAAUUAAAAAAUAAAGCAAAAAACAAAAGAAAAUAAAUAAUGCAGAAUACAAAACAAAAAAACAAUUAAAAAUAGCAACAAUAAGUAUUUUGUUGUAAGUAGAAACAAAAUAAAAUAAAUAAAGCAAGAAAGAAAACAAAAAAACAAAAAAGUGUUUUCAAAUUUGAAAACUAAUGGCACUAAUAGAAAGUUUAUAAUUUUUCUAAAACUAAAAGCAAAAAGAAUUAAAAAAUAAAGCAAAAAACAAAAGAAAAUAAAUAAUGCAGAAAACAAAACAAAAAAGCUGGAAAAUAAUUAAAAAUAGCAACAAUAAGUAUUUUGUUGUAAGUAGAAACAAAAUAAAAUAAAUAAAGCAAGAAAGAAAACAAAAAAAAUGCCUCCUACUGGGCCCCCACGGCCUGAAUACGACUAGAAACCCUACCAUGGGCCAGGAUUCAGGCCCGCAGUAGGCACAGAAGGCCCAUCAGGCAAAGCAGUAGCAAUUAGGCCCGCAAGCCUACGGUGGAGAGGAGCUCGAGAGGGGUGCUGCAGUGGGGUUUAUAAACCACUGCGCGCCCCUCUCAACUAGCAAGGUGGGACUAAACUUUGGCCCCGACACGGGCAGCACAGGGUCCUUUGGUCCCGGUUGGUGGCACCAACCGGGACUAAAGGGCCUUUAGUCCCGGUUGGUGCCACCAACCGGGACCAAAGGUCGCCGCUUCCCGCCCUUUGGCUGCUGAAAAGAGGCCUUUGGUCCUGGUUGGUGGUACCAACCGGGACUAAAGGGGGCAUUAGUCCCGGUUGGCCUCACGAACCGGGACUAAUGCCCUUGAUAUAUAUACAGCACUUAGGAAAAUUUGACGAACACAUCGCUAGUUGCCCCCGGCCCGCCCGACGACGCCGAGCUCAUCGACGCCGCCAGGCUGCCCAGAUCGACGCCGUCCGCUGCCCCGACGCCGCCCACCGCCCAGACGUUGUCCGCGCGCCGCCCCGACGCCGUCCGCGCGCCCCCGNNNNNNNNNNNNNNNNNNNNNNNNNNNNNNNNNNNNNNNNNNNNNNNNNNNNNNNNNNNNNNNNNNNNNNNNNNNNNNNNNNNNNNNNNNNNNNNNNNNNNNNNNNNNNNNNNNNNNNNNNNNNNNNNNNNNNNNNNNNNNNNNNNNNNNNNNNNNNNNNNNNNNNNNNNNNNNNNNNNNNNNNNNNNNNNNNNNNNNNNNNNNNNNNNNNNNNNNNNNNNNNNNNNNNNNNNNNNNNNNNNNNNNNNNNNNNNNNNNNNNNNNNNNNNNNNNNNNNNNNNNNNNNNNNNNNNNNNNNNNNNNNNNNNNNNNNNNNNNNNNNNNNNNNNNNNNNNNNNNNNNNNNNNNNNNNNNNNNNNNNNNNNNNNNNNNNNNNNNNNNNNNNNNNNNNNNNNNNNNNNNNNNNNNNNNNNNNNNNNNNNNNNNNNNNNNNNNNNNNNNNNNNNNNNNNNNNNNNNNNNNNNNNNNNNNNNNNNNNNNNNNNNNNNNNNNNNNNNNNNNNNNNNNNNNNNNNNNNNNNNNNNNNNNNNNNNNNNNNNNNNNNNNNNNNNNNNNNNNNNNNNNNNNNNNNNNNNNNNNNNNNNNNNNNNNNNNNNNNNNNNNNNNNNNNNNNNNNNNNNNNNNNNNNNNNNNNNNNNNNNNNNNNNNNNNNNNNNNNNNNNNNNNNNNNNNNNNNNNNNNNNNNNNNNNNNNNNNNNNNNNNNNNNNNNNNNNNNNNNNNNNNNNNNNNNNNNNNNNNNNNNNNNNNNNNNNNNNNNNNNNNNNNNNNNNNNNNNNNNNNNNNNNNNNNNNNNNNNNNNNNNNNNNNNNNNNNNNNNNNNNNNNNNNNNNNNNNNNNNNNNNNNNNNNNNAUAUAAUGUUCAUAGCAUUUUUUUUAUUUAUAUAUGUUUUUUCAUAGAUGUAUUAAUUUUUUAUUUAGGUUGUUAGUAGAUAUCGAUUUUAGGUUAGUGCAUUUUAAUUAGGUUAGUGUAGAGGAAAAAGUAAAAUAAGGAAAAGGAAGAAAAGAGGAAGAAGGAAGAAGAAGAAGAAAAAGAAUGAGAGGGAAAAGGAAAAUAAGAAGAGGAAGAAAGGAGAAGAAGAGGAGAGGAAAAGAAGAGGAGAAAUAAAUAAGAAGAAAAAAAAGAAGAAAAAGAAGAGGAGAAGAAGAAAGGAAUAGAGGAGAAGAAGAAAAAAUAGAAAAAAUUCUAAUUUUUUUUUCUUCUCCUCCUCUUUUUUUUCUUCUUUUUUUCUUCGAUCUUCUCCUCUAUUCCUUUCUUCUUCUCCUCUUUUUAUUUCUUCUUUGUUUUCUUAUGUUUUAUCGGGUCUGUCGCCGUCAGGCUGCUCGCCUUCGCCCUCGCCGCCCCCUCGAGAUAACUUCGACAUGAGGGGCGGUCGAUAUAUAUACCCCCUCUCGACCGUGAUAACCUAUACAACGGCAGCACCCCCCUCGGCCCUCUCGCUCGACCAAAACUCUCGAGGCCACCCAAAUUUACCAAGUUAAAAGAGCGUUGUCGUCGAGGCCACCCCUAACCCUUGAAGCGUUGUGUCGAGGCGAUCCCAAACCCUAGAGAAGCAGCGUCGAGGCCACUAACAUGAUUCCUUAUUGUGAUUAGCUAGCUAGUUCUACGUUUGCCACUAAUAUAUAUCCAUCUGUACCAUGUUUGAAUAAUAAUUGACAUGUUGUAAAUAUUUGCAGAAACUAUGGAGCACUACCGAGACGAAGCACUAGAAGCGAUGUUGGGGGAGAUGAUCGCAGAAGGAACUGAUGUCAUUGCGUCAUUUUUCAACGACGUCGUUGGUCAGGAAGGACUGGGUGAAGAAGAGGGCUAUGUUCAUGAUGGCUCCGGCUCAUUAAUGCCGGUACAAGAAGAGGGCUAUGUUCAUGAUGGCUCCGGUGAUGACCCAAUGGAGGUACAAGAAGGAGACCGUGCUGACUACUCCGGUGACUGAACCGAGUCCAGCCAGGUAUAUAUAUAGUAGUUAAGCCCGUGCUGACUAGUUAAUUAAUGCAUUCAUUGUUUUGGUAUAUGUACAUAUAUUAAUUAUUCUCGGCUUUCUUCCUUUUAAUUUCUAGCCCUCCGGAUCGAGCACAACUUCGGUAAGGAGACGAGGCCCGAAGAAAAAGUUGAGCUCGGAUGAAAGGUUUGAGAUCAUAGAAAUCGCGCCCGACGGCGAACCGAUUGAACCCAUCCGGACAAAGAACGCAUUUUCUGCUCAGUGCGGGGUUCUUGUUAGGGACAAGAUCUCAAUCAGCAUCCAGCAAUGGUAUAAGCCUAAGGACGACCCUGAGGUGUCUUAUGUCAAUGAUAUGCAGAAAGAAGGUCUUUGGACUCAGCUGAAGGCAAAUUUCACCCUACCGCCAGAGGAGGAUCCGGAGAAGCCAGUUAAAGAGCAAUUAAUCAAGUCGUCUGCUCUUAAGAAGAUGGCAACCCUAUUCAGGAGGUGGAGGAAAGAGUUGAAUCAUUUUGUCGGAAAAAAAAGACACCAGAAUUCAUCGGCAAAUAUGAGAAGAUCAAAGAUCACUGGCCCGCAUUUGUGGCCCACAAGACAUCGGAAAAGAGUAAGAAGAUGUCGGCGACGAACAAGCAAAAUGCUGCGAAGAAGAAGCUUCACCAUCGCACGGGGUCAGGUGGCUACCUCAAAGCCCGGCCUAAGUGGUCCAAGGAGGAGAAUGAUCUGCUUGAAAAAGGGAUCGAACCAGAGAUAAUGAGAUGGCCAGACUGUUGCCGGACUUGGUUCUUCAGGGCUGGCGGAACCUUGGACCCUGUAUCAGGGAUGUGCCGUUGGACGGACGAGCAACUGGAAAUACCAGUCAAGAACCUUCGACACUAUAUCAAUGCAGCGCAGAAAGGGACGUUCGUACCAGACAGGGAGAAGGACGAGCUCACAAUGGCCCUCGGGAAUCCUGAGCACCCUGGACGGACACGAGGCACGACAGGCUCCAUUCCAUGGAAGGUUGGUUUUCCGGACGCAGGGGGUUACAAAACCCACGAGAGGAGGAAGAAACUGGAGCAGGGCCAACUGCAGGCGCUGCACGAAAGGGUAAUGGGGCUAGAGGAACGAGAAGAGGAACGAGAAGCAGCAGAUCGCAGCAAAUGACCUACCGAAGCUUCCCCCGAAGCUACCCCGCCAUCUCAGCGGAGAAGCGGCGUGGCUUCCAUCGAGCUUCUUCAGCCGGAGCAUGUCUUGACGGCUCCUGCCAGCUAUCCCGUGGAUGCUAUCAUGGAGUCUCAACAUUGCCACAUUAUGGCGCGAUGGAUGAAUUUGAAGGUCAAGGCGGCUGUUGGCUCUGUUUAUCCUAGUGGAUCCGGAGCAACUUAUCACUGCCGGCCGAUUCCAGAAGGAUAUGCUAAGGUGAUGGUGGAUAAAAUAACGGAGGGAUUUGAGGACCUCGUGCUUGACCACCCUACCGGUGAAGGGGAGACUAGGAUGGGUUCUGCUCUGAAGACUCCAUGCCUAUGGCGGAAGGAGCUCAUCAACCUUCCGAACUGGACGCCUCUGCCUCCUCCUCCUCCUCCUCCGGCGAGUCAGGGCACUCCGCCUCCUCCUCCGGCGAGUGACGAUCAGGGAACGCGUGGCGGCACUCCACCUCCUUCUCCGACGCGUGGCGGCACUCCGCCUCCUUCUUCGCCUGUGCCGGCGCUCCCGAGCAGCCAGCAGCCUCCUCCUUCUCCGCCUCGCCAGCAAGGGCGGAAGAGACCCGCCGCCGCCCCGGCUGCUCUGGCGCGUCGUACUCCUUCUCCUCCGCCUCGUAAGCAAGCACGAAAGAAGACAGACACCGCAGCCGCUCCGUCUGCUCCGAUGUCUAGCAGCACAACCAGAGGCGGGAGGCAAUACAGAUACGGUCCACCUCUCAAGCCUCUAGAGAAGUUACCAUACGAGAGGACCGAGGAGGAAAACGAUAGAAUUGGGCGGACCCACGUGAAGGAGUUCUUUGAAGGGGUGAAAGCAAAUAGACAUCCACCUCCGGAGGAGAAGGUAGAUCUGGUGAAAGCAAAGCGCACUAUCGAUACCCUGAGGAAACCACCAAAGUCUCCGCCGAGAACCAACUAUGAGCGCAUUACUGAACAGACAUAUCUCCAAGCCCAGCGGUCGGGAACUACUGUCAGUGCUAAAAGGUUAAAAGAACAAGCAAAGGGGAAAAAAUUGCCCAGCUCGGCGAACAAGCACAGCAAUCGUGCCCCCCUCUCAAUGUGUCUAAUGCUCCGGAGACGGUGGCCGGUUAUGGCAAUCUUGCAGAUUACCUGCCUGACGAUCAACUUCCUGAUUUCUUGGAGGUGGACGAACACAGAUACGAGUACGGGAAGCCUCUCGUCAAAGAUGAAAAAUCUCUGACAACAAUGAUGCGAAGAUUCCAUAAUUGGUACAUGGAAACCUGCAGAGAGUCUGGGGGUACGAAUGCUUUGUAUCUGAAUAUUAAAGAGGAGCACGACCUCGUUGCAAAUGAUCUGUUGACUGUUCCAUUUGAUGAGUUCUUCGCGUUCUUCAAUCAAAAGGCCCUCGAUAAACUAAUGGUCUUUUGCUACUGUCUGUAAGUACUAUUUCUGUCAUUAAGUCUCUAUAUAUAGCUCGUCUCUUUCAUUUCAUGUAUUUAUAAUUAAUUAUCCUCAAUAUAUUAUGCAGACUGAAGAUCGUCGAGUGCAAAAAAUAAGAAAUUUAUGAUAUUGGGUUUAUUAACACAAAUAUCAUAGAUGAAUUUCUGGUUAAAAAGGACGUCAAAGAGGCCGAGGACAACUUGCUACAAUCGUUGAUCAAAAAUCAAAACAAAGAUACCAUACUCUUUCCUUACAACGGCAAGUGAGUGUUACUGUCGUGUGCAUAUUCGGUUUCCCUUAUUACUCGAGCGAGGUUAUAGUAAUGUAAUUAAUGAGUUAUGCAUGCGUGCGCAGGUACCACUAUAUUCUUCUGGAGAUUAAGCUUGAGCGUGGACUAGUAACCGUCUUAGACUCGAGACGGAAAGAUCCCAAAACCUAUGCGGACAUGACUGAAAUGCUCAGCAAGUAAGUUCAAUCGAUCAUUAUCGCACCAUAUCGGCAACUUUUUGUUCAUUUCCUGAUAUCUCAAGUAAUAAUAAUUAUUUUCUUUGUCUUGCAGGGCUUGGAAACAGUUCACCGCACAAGCUCCGGGACUGCCGAAGGAGCUGCGAUAUACAUACCCGAAAGUAAGUACUACUGGCUAGCUAGUUGCGCGCAUCUCCCGUUGAUUCUAUAGCUAUACUUUCAUCAAUGCCAUUUAUAAUGCUUCAUUAUCAGUUUGAUUGACCUCUAUUUCUCGUAAAGUGCUUGUGGCAGGAAGAAGGGAAUGAUUUCUGUGGAUAGUACGUGUGCGAGUUCAUCCACAACGCGACUUUGAAAAACAAGUGGGGCUACUCUCAAAGAUAAUAUGAAGUGUGUAAGCAAUAAUAUUCACAAUUUAAUUUUAUUACACCAUCAUUUCUGUUGAGUUUCAUUCAUAUAUAUGUAUUAAUUAACCCCCUUCUUCAAAUUAGACGUGGCAGAUGCGGAAUGAACUCCUAGAACCAGAUCGCAUGAAAGCAAUUCAAGAGGAAUUGGCGGGAUUCUUUGUUGACCACGUCAUCAAUAAAGCCGGAGAAUACCAUGUGGAAAUUGAUUUCAAUUGCUAGGGGAUUGUAAUUAAGAGAUCUUAUACAUAUUGUACAUGUAUGUAGCCAGUAGCGUCGGAUACAUGAUAUACGAAAACUUGUUGUUCGACCAAUCUCUCGGAGAAGGAGAGGUCGAUCGAUCACUUCUCUCGGUAUGCAUGACGAACUUCUGUACUCAAUGGUUCUCUCGAUCACUUAUGUAUAUAUAGUACGUAGCNNNNNNNNNNNNNNNNNNNNNNNNNNNNNNNNNNNNNNNNNNNNNNNNNNNNNNNNNNNNNNNNNNNNNNNNNNNNNNNNNNNNNNNNNNNNNNNNNNNNNNNNNNNNNNNNNNNNNNNNNNNNNNNNNNNNNNNNNNNNNNNNNNNNNNNNNNNNNNNNNNNNNNNNNNNNNNNNNNNNNNNNNNNNNNNNNNNNNNNNNNNNNNNNNNNNNNNNNNNNNNNNNNNNNNNNNNNNNNNNNNNNNNNNNNNNNNNNNNNNNNNNNNNNNNNNNNNNNNNNNNNNNNNNNNNNNNNNNNNNNNNNNNNNNNNNNNNNNNNNNNNNNNNNNNNNNNCCGCUCCUUUCAAAAAAAACAAAAACCCCAGCCACUGGAAGGCUGACGCGUGGAUGCCUUUUGGUCCCGGUUGGUACCACCAACCGGGACCAAAGGCCCCCUGACUGGGCUCGGCGCACAGGGCCACGUGGAGGCACAUUGGUCCCGGUUCGUGUUUGAACCGGGACUAAUGGGUGGAGGUAUUAGUAACGACCCAUUAGUCCCGGUUCAUGAACCGGGACUAAAGGCCCUUACGAACCGGGACUAUUAGGUGUUUCUCUACUAGUGAAAAGGCCCAAGUUCAACUAUACUCUUUGAUGUUUUGGCUAUGGGCUGGGCCGGCUAUGGCCCAUCUGCCUUGCUUUAGCUCCACCAGUGGUCAAGACUAUCAAGAAAAGGCACCAUGAAAAUUACUAUAACAAAUUUUCUCUUACUCAACUCGCAAUAAGAAAAAUCUCUCGGUGAUAGUGCUAUGCAACAUACGAGAGACCAUAAUAAUCUCUCACCCGUCCCAUGGUGCUGGCAGGGUCAACUCUAUAAUUUUGAGAGCCCUUGUGUGACAUUGGCAAAUUGAUAGUCUUUUUUUCUUUUAUUGUGCAUGAAAACUCCUUUUAAGCAACAUUAUAGUAACCCUAAAACUGACAAGGAAAGUAAAUACAUAAGUAGAAUUUUAGAAAUCAGAGCACUAACAUUUAACAUGCUUCGACGAAUGGGUGGCUCUGGUAAUAUGGAUAUGGAUACGAGGAAUGAGAGGCCUAGAGAGUGACAAGUUCAUGCUUUGUUGUCACAGACACCCGAGGAGGCGGCAAGACACUCACGUCGUCAAGCUACGAGACAAACCUGUGAAGAUGAAGAUCACGAAUUACAAUUAGGAGAACUGGUGAUGCCAUGUGUCCAUGUCGCACACCGAUUAUGAUUAUUUUCCUUUUUAUGGACCAGUUCAACCAAGGCUAAAGGCCUAAAGCUUCUUGGAGAGCGUGUAUACCUUAAUUUUAGGAGAGCUCAUUUGAAAAAAGCCAGAAGACUAAAAAAGAAAAAUCAGGCCGAAAGUUUCCAUAACCAAAGUUGGCCCAUAAGCUUCUGGAAGCUUCCUAAAACCGACAGGAGGGAGCUUCCUCUCAUGUGAAUGCCAUAGAUUGGGCAGCCCUUUUAUAAUCUAUUGAAGGAAGAGGUGUGUGCGCUUUUUACCAAUAACUUGGAAACCAAUGCUAAAUAGCAUAUUUCCACUUUUAGCGCGGCGUAGAACAGAAUUUGACUAUAGAUCCACGGUAUGGGCAAAUCCCAACAUUUUUUCUAUAGGGGCAGAUGCCUCACUCUAACGAGUAGGAUUUUUUUGUUCUUAUUUUCACAUUUUUCUUUUCAUUUUUCCUAAUUUUCUAGAAAACGCUCUAUAACAUAUAUGGGUGAUCAUAUAGUUUAAUAAGUGUUCAUGUACUUUAAAAAUGUUCAUCACGUAUUUAUAAAAUGUUUUCAAAAUAUGAAACAUUUUUGAAAUACACAUGCAAUUACAAAAGUGUUCAUAUUUUUCUGAAAAUAUACACUAUGAAUAUCUUGAACAAUAUGGAUGAAGAUUUAUUUUAAUACAUGAUGAACCUUUGAAAUCACAAUAUUUUCUAAAAAAUACACAACGAUUUUUAUAUACACAAUAAACAUGUUUUUCAUACACGAUGAACAUUUUGUAAAAACAUGAGUGAACAUUGCCCAACUCCGAUGAGGGAGGGCCAAUGAUGGUAGUACGCCUUCGCCUUGCUCGAGUGAUUGUAGACAUCGCUAGGUGGUCUACGGACCAGGACAUAAGUUCUGUUACCUCUGGUGUUCUUGUACUGACAUGAUGGUUGAUAAGUAGAUCAGAUUUUUUCCGUAAUCUUAUUAAGAAAAAUGUUCAACUUGUCUUACAAAUUGUUCCAGAGAUUAAGAAAAAUAUAUUCGCAUUUUUCAAAAAGAACAGUACAUUUCAAUUUUUUCACAUGUUUAGAAUAUUGUUCAUGGCCAUAUUAAAAUAUUCAUGAAAUAUAAAAAAUGCGUUAUUACAGUUUUGGAAAGAUGUUUGUGGUAUAUAAAAAAUGUUCAUCAUGUAUUUAUAAAACAAUCAAACUUGUAUUAAAAAAAUAUUAUAUGUGUAUCUGAAAAUGUUUAUUAUUUUUAAUAAUUUCAGUGUGUAUUUGAAAAAUAGAAAAAAAAACAUGAAACAAUGAAUAGGAAAAGUAAAAGAGAAACCAAAAAUGAAAAACCUAAACAAACCCAAUAAACAAGAGAAAUAAAAAACCGGACAAAACGUUAUGAAAUCACAAGAAACAAACAAAUGCUACACACCUCCACCACUACUGGGCCACAGCCCACACCGCAUCGCCAGAGACAUAGCAUUUGCGCAAAAUGACCGCACGCAUUGAACAAACUGUCGGCUAGCUAGUUAUUAGAAAGACAUGUAACUUAAUUCAAACUCAACAAAAUUAUAGCUACAAUGCUUUGGAUCAUAGAUACAAGAAAUUACAAAAUAACUCAUAUAACUAAGAAUUACAAUGAAACCCUCUUGAGUCAAAAUAUGAUAAACAGAGGAAAAAAACAUUAGCACAUAUAAUCCUUACUCUAUCCGAAUAUAUGGCGGUGCUAAACUUAGCAACCCCAUUAGUUUUGGAGCUCCAGCUUCAUGGAGUCUUUUUUGGAAAAUCAUACAUGCAUAACUAAAACACACUCAUGCAUGAGGCUGGAGAAUCAGGGGCAUGCAGCAUCAAAAUAGGUUAGUUUGUCGGAGAGUUAGAUUUAAUAAUUUGAGACAUUACGCAUGAUAAAAUUGUCAUUGGUAUCUACCAUUUUGAAACUGUGCACAGUAUACCGGGCCAGAGGGAGUGCUUGAGAAAACACUGAGAGUCAGCGAAAACUCGGUCUACUAAGCAAACCAUGGAGCCUUGGGGCGUCCUAACAGGUGGUGAAGCUCACGCACGAGGUGACUGCACAAUCGGGCCAGUUCUUUUCCGGAGAGCUUUCCUUUCGAUUGUGAAUUGAACUGCAGCGAUUGCUUUUUACUUUGUAUUGCAUUGCACAAACGUGUACACUGUCUAUCUUAAUUUCUAAAUGAUGGCCGGUCACAUGGACGUGUGAGCACGGGAUUGACAAGGCAACUAACAGAAUUCUAUUACUACGAGGAGGCAACUGAUAAAGUAAAAAUAUUGUUACCCACCCUACUAUCAUCAGAUGGAGACACGCACGCAGAAUCCACUGGACAAGGCGACUAACAUAAUUCUAUUACCACGAGGAUGCAACUAAUAGAGUAAAAAUAUUGUUACUCACACGUACUACCACCACAAAAGACACACACGCAGAAUCCAGCUGUACUUAUUAACACGUCUAGCUACCUACGUGUGGUUUCUUCAUUUGUAAUCAACUAAUCAACCAAUAUAACUCCACCGACAUGUUAUACAGUACUACUUGUCACUCCAGCUAGGUAACUGCAAUGCUAAUUAAUGCAGCCUCCAGAUCUGGUUUGUUUCACCCAGCCUAUAAAACCACACAAUAUGUACCUUCAGUUCUCACACAACACACACACAAAGCACAGCAGGUGCAACACUAACUGCAAGCACAAGAAGUAGGCAGCAAUGGCGAAGCAUCGCCUCCUUGCCGUGCUCCUCAUCGGGAUAGUUGCAGCUUCCUCUUUCAACCAAGCAGCUACGGCUGGCCGAGGCCUUGCUGUUGUUGAGAAGUUCGCAGAGCUAGAGCCAAAGCCAGAACCCAAACCAGAGCCAAUGCCCAAACCUAUGCCACACCCAGAGUCAGAGCCCUGCAAACCUGAACCGCUGCCCAAACCCGAACCAAAGCCUGGACAGAAACCUGAACCAGAACCCAAGCCCAAGCCGAUGCCAAAACCAAAGCCAAAGCCCAAGCCCUGCUCCAAACCGAAGCCAGAUCCUAAGCCCGAGCCAAUGCCGAAACCCGAACCAAAGCCGGAGCCCAAGCCUAAUGAACCGAAACCGAAGCCGCCUCCUAAGUGCAAACCACCGACAGCUCACAACUGAUGGGAUACUUGUAUAUGACAGUUGAUGGAGGAGACCCCAUACGGAGCCACACUGUGCUAUUUCUAGAAUAAGUGGUGUAGUAUUCCCUGUAUUCCAUUUAUUUGUAUUGUUCCAUGCAUGUGGGAUGACUAUUAGCUCUGUACUUAUUAUUUGCUUGUUGGUAUAUGUUCAUCUACUUUGUAUGUGACUCGACUCGUUGUUAUUUUCAGUAUCUACGCAUGAUGGUAUUCAUUUUCAUGAAUGGGCUAUUUUGUCAGUGAACUGCAGUCUAUGUUGUUUUCUCUGUGGUGUGCAGUCUCAGUUAUUUUCUCUAUGGGGUUGUUUCAUUAUUAUGUGGUCUUUUUUGGCGGAAAAGAUGAUGUCAACAAAAGGGAAGAGAAGGCCUCCCUAAAUAGCAGCACACAUAUGAAGUGUAGUGUGCACGUACGUGUCUGGUGUUCUAGAUGUAUAAAGUGUACUCAUACGCCAGACAGCGGUUUUGUUCUCUACCCUUCGUCUAUGAACUAAGUCCCGACCAGGUGUGUUAGUAUUUAUACCCAGGCUCUACGAGUGAGCUGGCUCCGUUGCUAGUUAUACUAGGUAAACGUCACACACACUGCUACGGAAAUUUAAAGCAAUGAAAUUAUAAAAAAAUAGCAUAUAUGUGAAUAAUACCAUACAACAUUCUCAACAUAUGACAAUAGAAAACCUAGAUGUAACUGGAGGGUGGAUGCAUGUUAUAUUGUCGUGACCUUCAAGUUUAAUUAUUUGUUGUUGAAAGAUAACUAAUAGUAAAAAUAAUGAGGUGAAGAGCUUGCGUGUGUUUGUGGAGGGCUUGCAUAUGAUGGAAAGUGAAAAGUCGAAUGAUUACAUGCACCCUCGAUGAUGUGGACGACUUGCAUGUGAUGAAAAAUGGUAAGUGAAAGUUGAUUGGUUGCAUGUCCUCAUGAUGUGAUUAAUUUGCAUGCCCUCAUAUAUAUAGGAUAUAUGUGUGAAAGGUAACUGCACCGCCCUGGUAUAUAUGUGUGAAAGGUAAUUGCACCCCCUGGUCAAGAGAUUAGUGGCAGAGCUACCCAAAAAUUAUUGGGCAGGCCAAGGUGGCCCAUCAUGAAGGAAACACAUUUUUCUCUCUUAAAAGGCCCAAGUUUACCUAUACUAUUUGAUGUUUUGGCUAUGCGCUCAGCCGGCUAUGGCCCAUCUGGUCUUGCUUUAGCUCCACGAGUUGUCAAGACUAUCAAGAAAAGGCACCAUGAAAAAUAUUAUAACAAAUUUUCUCUUACUCAAUUCGCAACAAGAAAAAAAAUCUCUGUGAUAGUUCUACGCAACAUACGAGAGACCAUAAUAAUCUCUCACCUGUCCCAUGGUGCUGGCAGGGUCAACUCUAUAAUUUUGAGAGCCCUUGUGUGAAAUUGGAAAAUUGAUAGUCUUUUUUUUUUCUUUUAUUGUGCAUGAAAACUCAUUUUAAGCAACAUUAUAGUAACCCUAAAACUGACAAGGAAAGAAAAUACAUAAGUAGAAUUGUAGAAAUCAGAGCACUAACAUUUAACAUGCUUCAACGAAUGGGUGGCUCUGGUAAUAUGGAUAUGGAUACGAGGAAUGAGAGGCCUAGAGAGUGAUAAGCUCAUGCUUCAUUGUCACACACGCCCAAGGAGGCGGAGAGACACCCACGUCGUCAAGCUUCAAGACAAACCUGUGAAGAUGAAGAUCACGAAUUACAAUUAGGAGAACUGGUGAUGCCAUGUGUCCGUGUCCACACUGAUUAUGAUUCUUUUCAUUUUUAUGGACUAGUCAACCAAUGGCUAAAGGCCUAAAGCUUCUUGGAGAGCGUGUAUACCUCAAUUUCAGGAGAGCUCCUUCUCACCGCUUGUAGUGCUCAUUAGUGUCGUAGCGCACAAGAGCCCGCGUGCAUGUGCCAUCCACUAAAAGGCAAAGCGGUUGCUCACCUGGCCACCCACUAUACUCUUUUUUCGCCAGCCUUUUUUCCGGGAUUGCUCUGUUAUUCAAUGAAAAAGAUGCCACCGGUAUUCUAAAUUUGAAAAACAAUUAUGGUUUGAAGAGAAUGAAUUAAAAAACAUUGAAAAUUUUGAAAAAAAAAUCACAAAUUCAUUUUUCAUGAAUUUGAAAAAAGUUGAUUCAAAAAAGUUAGUGAAAUUUGAAAAACCAAAUCAUGAAUAUGAAAAAACCACAUGAAACUUACCAGCGCUACACCGCAAGAGCUAUAUCUCGCUUAUAGUGAGAUGGUAGGAGCUCUCACAUGAAGGGAAGCGCUACUAACCACUGGGCCACUGUCCGCUUCAUGUUAGAUUAGCAGGUCGCGACCUUAUUAAGAAAAAGAGUUGUAUUUCCACUGGUUUUCCAGGUUUUUUGUUUUGUUUUUCCUAGUUUUUUUUACGGUUCUUCUUCGUUUCUACUUGGUAUUACAAACUUUUUAUUUACUUUGUUUUUCUUUGUUUCUUUUUCUUUCACUAGCUUGUUACUUUUUUUCUUUUUUCUUCGGUUUUGUUGAUUUAUUUUCUCGUUUUUCUUUUGGUUUCCUUUUGUUUUCUUAUUGGGUUUUCAUUUUUUCUAUACACAUUUUCUAUAUAUCUAAUACAUUUUUCCAACACACGUUAAAUAUUUUGAAAAUACAAGAUUAAUAUUUAUUGAAUACAUGGCAACAUUUUUUCUAUACAUAUUUAACAUUUUUUUAAAUGCUUGAUUAACAUUUUUCAAAUAUCAGAUUAACAUUUUUUAGUACAUGAUAAAAAUAUAAUCUCAUUUUAUUUUUUUGUCAGAUCCUUAAUUAAAAAUUUGCAAAUACAAGUUUAACAUUUUUAAAAUACAUGGUGAAUAUUUUUUCUAUAAACAUUUAAUAGUUUUUCAAACGCUCUAUAAACAUUUCAAAUAUAAGGUUAACAUUCUUUCUAAUACAUGGUAGCCAUUUCUUAUAAACAUUUAACAUUUUUCAAAUGCUUGAUUAAUUUUUUGAAAUAGUUGUUUAUUUAGUUUUUUAAUGUAUGGAUUAACAUUUUUAAAACCAAGGUCACCUUUUUAGACACACAUUAUAUAUAUUUUGUGUACAUUUGUAGUAUACAUGAUAAACAUUUUCUCUAUGUACAUUUAACAUUUUUCAAAUGUUAGGCUACUAUUUUUUGAAAUAUUUUAUAUACUGUUUUUGCAAUAUAUUUAUUUAUAUUAUUUGGAGGUAUAAAUGAAAGAAAAAACGAAAACCAAAUGAAAAGAAACUAAAAAACGAGGCAGUAGCUUCCCCGUGCACUGGGCUGGGCCGUACGCUCAAGCGACUGCAAGGUGCUUCAGCGAGUCGGAAGGUUGACUAGAAGCGAGGUAUAGCCGCGCCCGCGCUACACUGCCUCGUCCGCUACUGGGCCAUGGUCCACACCGCAUCGCUAGAGGUGAAUGCUGUGUGCGCCUUGCAGUAGGCCAGACGUAGCAUUUGCGCAAAAUUACUGCACGAUUGAACGGCUAGUCAUCUAUUUUUUAGGAUGACCUGUAACUUUAUUCAAACUUGAUAAAAUUAUAGGUGAAAGGCUUUGGAUAAUAGAUCCAAGACAUUACAAACUAACUCCUAUAACUAAGAAUAUAAAACUAUUUUCUCAAAAAAAAUCAUAAUUUUACAAAUUUGAAAAAAGUCAUGACUUUUGAAAAUGUUCAAAGAUGGAUGCCAUGGAGAUAAACGUUCAGAGAAAUUGAACUAUUUUUAAGAGCCAUGAAUGUUUUUCAAAUUUUUAAAAUUUCCAAAUAUUUUUAAAAUUCAUUAAUUUUUUAUAUUUUUGUGUUUUUAAAAUUCAUGAAUAUAUUAUUAAACUCAUGAAGAUUGUUCAAAAAGCACAAAAUUUAAAAUUUACUGUUUAUUUUUCAAAAAAAUUGUACACUUUUUAAAAUCCAUGAUUUUUUAAAAUUUGUGAACAUUAUUUUAAUGCAUGCGAAUCUAUAAAAAAAAAUAUGAAGUCGGUUUUUAGCUAGCGAGAGUGAGAGAAGUGGCAACUGGGAGCGAGCUCGCUAAUGGGUCGUAGUGUGCCGUAUGCUCCACAUGAGCAUACAGUACUAAUGCGGACGCUCAUACAUACAGACAUACAUUUAUCUCUAUGAACGAUCGCACACACUACCUACCCCUAUGAGCACCUUCGAAUGAUUGUGUUGACAUAUAAUUUUGAGAUUGGGAAAACCACCACAUGCGCCUUCGUAGUUGACGGGAAUAUCUCCUCCCAGUGAACAAGCAUCGGAAGCCUGGAAUAAUACAGAAAAAUGAGCCGACCUGUGUUAAGUCUAGGACUUGAACCCUGAUGGAUUGGUUUCACUACGACGAACCUAACCAUCUGAGCUAGGCACGUUUCGCAGGAGUGCCUGAAGAUAGGAGCUCCCCAUGAAAUGAUCAAAGGCGAUAUUUUCCUGGGCAGCCUCCCAUCGAGCUUCACUCUUUCCUUUGAAAGACAAAAACACCGACAAGAUGGUCAAGUACUUGGUGUGCUAGUUUCAAGCAUGUGAUGUGUGUUAUCUAGAAGUACAAAACUACCAUUAUCUCUAGUUGUUGUAAUAUUCCUAAAUCUCUUAGGUUUCUUUUAGGAAAAAAAAUAUACUUCAAUUAGAAUUAAAAAAGGGAAUAUGUCGAUAUCGAGACGAUAUCAAUUACACCCGGGCCUAUGCAAAAAUACGGUGUCAAGGUUAUUCUCACUAGUGCAGAAUCGGGCAAUAGCACCGGUUCGUAAGGCCCUUUAGUGCCGGUUCCAUAACCGGCACUAAAGUGUGGGCACUAAAGCCCCCCCCCUUUAGUACCGGUUCAGCAUGAACCGGUGCUAAAGGGAAACCACGUGGCACGAGCCAGCUCCAGGGGCCUGGAGCCCUUUAGUACCGGUUGGUAAGAUCAACCGGUACUAUAAGAUUUGGGGGGUUUUUAGUUUUAUGAUUUCUUUUUCAUUUAAUUUUAUGUUUCCAUUUUAAUUCUUUUUCAUUUGCUGGUAUUUUACGAUACUACACAUUGUACACGAUAUAUAUAUAUAUAUAUAUAUAUAUAUAUAUAUAUAUAUAUAUAGAAUUUCUAGUAGAACCAAUCAUGCAUAUAUAUCAUCAAUUAAUGUCUCACAAACCAUCAUAUUAAUUAAUUCACACAUACACACAUGUAUAGCUAUAUACAAUUUCUCCUACAUAUGCAUGUUGCCUUCGGAGCCAGUGGCAUUAGCCUAAUUGGUGCCUUCGGAGCACGAUGACAAUUUGAAGUGGUUUUCAUGAGGGCGGUAGCGGGUAAUAGUAUUCUCCCUUCGGAUUUAUGACCUGGUCGAACAAAAAUCCCGCUAUUUCCUCUUGAAGUGCUUCUACGCGCUCCGUUUCUAGGAGCUUCUCCCGCACCUCUCUGAACUGUUAAGAAGGAGAUCAAUAUGCAUGUGUAUUAGUUGUGUGACUAGAUAUCGAUAAUGGUGUAAAAAUUGUGAAUAGUGUUUUGACAAGCGUACCCAUUCCUGUCUUUGAGAUCUUCUCUUUUCGGACGCCAUCAUGCGAAUGUUCUCGCAAACGCAGAAUGCACACAGAUCAGUCCCCUGCGCCUGCUUCAGGGCCUUUACGAGAAUGAAAUUUGAUCAGAUAAUAAUUAAUCAAGCAUGAUAAUUAAAGAGAUGGCAGCUAGCUAGCUAGCUAGUGCUACUUAAUUACUUACCUUUGGUCUUCCCCAUUUAAGCUUUUCUUUCCAUUCGCCUUCCGUGACGCUGAUGAACCUUGCCCAAGCCCUGCCCGCCGACAAAGAAAAUGAAUAAAGGGGUUAUUAAAUAGUUCAUAUCAUGAAAUGACGAACUAAAUAGGCCGAGAUAUAUAGUUAAUAAUGAUUGAAAUUACCUGUUGACUAUCUCAAACAAGAUGUUAUAGUCAGUUUUUUCUUUGAGUAGUGAGUCCAGUAUUUCAACUGUUCGGGCGUCAACUUUAAUGAUACACAAGACCCAGUGAUAUCUGCAUGCACACACGUUUGCAUGUCUUAAUUAAGCGGGCAUAUGUAAGCAAAAAUAUGUAGCUAGCUAGUAGGCAAAAAUAGAGAAUUUGUAGUACAAGACAGUGUGACUCACUGGAAGUUGUAAGGAAGUAGUAUAUCUUCAUUGUAUUUGAGGCGCUUCAAGAACUCUAGCAUGCUGUCCUCUACUGCCUUUUGAUCACGUGCAUCUAUUUUCCAUGUGUAUUCAUUAACGGUGUUUGGGUCAAUGAACCCAAUGCCAUAGCGUCCACCUUUUUCUCAUUUCAUACAUCUUCAUCCUGCAUAUAAUACCACAGAAAAGAAUAUAGUGAGGAUAAUUACAGGUAAUGAUUGAUCAAAAGGAUCACUACAGCUAGCUUGAGACUUAAAUUACAGAAAGAAAUCACUUACAGACAAUAGCAACUGACGAUAGAUUUGUCGAGUGCGUCUUGAUUGUAUAACUGAAACAGUUCAGAAUACUCAACGGACACAGCUUUCUCAUGGUAGUAAUGCUCCUUCUUGACAUUCACCAUGAGGGACAAUCGAUCGGAAAUCUUGGUAAUGUUCAUGUACCAUUGAUGCAAUUCAUACAUUCUCAUACAUUCUCGUUGGGAGGUUCUUGACCUUGUCUGGCUCGACCAAAGGUUGGCCCCGGACAUAUUUCCGUUUUAUUUCAUCCUCUCUAAGCACAGGCAUGGGCUCGAUCUCGAGGAAUUGUCCAACAGUGAUUUUGAGAACUUCAGCCUGCAUUAUAUGCUCCUCCGUUAUUACCACAUUGCCCACCUCAGGAACGUAAACUGUUUUCCCACAAUAAUAUUGGGCGCGCGUACUGUCACGUGUUGUUGGCACAACAAGCGAGGGGAUCGAUUGCGCCGCCUGUUCUCCCAGCUGGGGAAUGGUUUUCCCACAUUUUUUGACAGCUGCUUCUUGUUUGCUUGAUCCCGAGCUCGCCUCCUUAUGUAGACGUGCUCGAUUUAACUUCCUGAUGUGGCGCUCAUAGUCUGUGUCAACAGGCUUGGGAGCUGGUGGUUGAGCCAUACGAAUGAAGUGGUCAAUCGUUUUCUCAGGCACUUUCUCCCUUGGCGGCGGUGGCGGUUUCGGUGCAAAAUGGGCUUCCACCUCGGACUUUGAUAUGGCUGCGAUUUCCUCCUCGGACCUGUCAUAAGCCCUCUGCAGAAGAGGCGUGAGGCUUGGACCAUAUUUAUAUCGCUUGCCUCCGCCUGUACUUCAUGUACUACCUCGACUCGUACCGCUACGCAUCAUAGCUGCGGGGUGUCUCUUCUGUGAUUGCUGAGGCGGCGGAGACGGCUGGCGGGGCUGAGUUGGACGAGGAGGAGUGGCCGCCUGAAGCUGUGCCGGACUUGGAGGAGGAGUGGCCUGAGGUUGUGCCAGACUUGGAGGAGGAGUAGACGUCUGACGAUGUGGCGGACUUGGAGGAGGAGGAGUGGCCUGACACUUUGCCGGACUUGGAGGAGGAGUGGCCUGACACUUUGCCGGACUUGGUGGACUUGCAGGAGCGGGAGACUGCUGACUCGGUGGCGGACUUCGACGAGGAGUCGCUGGCGCGGUGUCGGUGGCCUUCAAAAGAUGAUGCAAUCCUUUUUCCAUAGGAUGAUACAAUGGUUGGCAUCUCCGAGAAAGCGCUUGUCGUCACCUCCAGGAUAGUCAAGCUCUAGAUCCGAAUAUGGGUCCACCACCUCAUCAACCAAGACACGAGCAUAGCCCGCUGGAAUCGGGUUGCAAUGGAAGGUUGCCUCGGGGGGAUUUGUAAAAGCAACGGCGUCCGCCACCUUCAUGGAUAUGUUCUUCAUUUUGACGUGUAGCUCGCAGCUAGUGUUCUCCGUGAUGUCAUCCAUGGGGUAUCUACCCAGCAUUGCGUCGUCCGGGGCGGAACCCACGCUGCUUCUCGGCAUGGAUGGGGCGGUGCUAUCCAAUGUUGGAUCAUUCGCUAGCUGCUACAGCUGCUGAGACCCCCUUUGCUGGGUAAGUGAGUCGAUCUGCUCCUGCUGCUGCUGGAAUUUGACUACCAAUUCUGCUUGACUUGCUUCUAGGCCUUGAAGGCGUUCAUAGUCCCUCUUCCUCUGCUCCUCCUCCAUCUUCCUCUUCUUCUCCUCCGCAAUCUUCUUUCUCGCACGGGUUCUGUAGUCGGUGUUCCAGUCUGAAAACCCCUCAUACCACGGAAUAGCGCCCUUGCCUCGUGUUCUUCCCGGGUGUUCAGGAUUUCCCAGGGCACGCGUAAGCUCGUCGUUCUCUCUGUUGGGCUGGAACACCCCCAUCGUGCCUCUUCUAUUGCAACAAGUAUCGCAUCGUCGGCUCCCUUCAGACUUGCCCUCGUCGAAACAUUGUCUGUCUUCGGGUCCAACUCCCCCCCCCCCAUGCGCAUAGAACCAAGUCCUGACCCUGGGGGCAGCUCUUAGUAACCGGAGUGGCACCUGCAUCCUCCAUCUCUUUCUCAGACUUAUCCCACUUAGGCAUUGCCACCGCAUAGCCACCUGGCCCCAGCUUAUGGAACUUAUCCUUUUUUCGGCAUUCUUCUUGUUUAUUCUCGACCGUUCCUUAGCUAAUUCCGAAUCCUUGAAUUUCAUGAAAUCGUCCCAAUGAGCACGUUGGUUCUCUAGUGUUCCCUCGAAUACUGGAGUGUUCCUUCCUCCCUUGACGUACUUGUCCCAUUCACGAUUUUUGUGGUUCUUGAAUGCAACCGCCAUCUUCCUAAGAGCAGCGUCCUUGACUUUCUGCACAUCUGCUUCUGUGAAAUAAUCUGGUAGGGUGAAAUGUUCCAUGAGAGUAUCCCAAAGCAGAUCUUUUUGAUUCUUGUCGACAAAAGUAACAUCUGGACGUGGAGCAGCGUCCUCUUUGCCUUUUUGUCUUUUGUCUUUUGCUAGCUCUCUCCAUUCUUGAAGGGAGAUCGGGAGUUGGUCCUUCACAAGAACUCCGCACUGACAAACGAACUUGUCCGCAAUCUUCUUAGGCGCUAAUGGUUCGCCAUUAGGUCUGACUGCCUCGAUAUUGUACUUUACACCCUCCUUCAACUUUUUGUUCGGGCCUCGUUUCGUCCUUUUGCCUGAAGAUUUGCUCGAUCCGGAUGGCUGAAAGAACAAACAUCGAUUCGUUAAUAUAUCUUCAAGUCAUUUAAAACAUGUGAUGAUCACCAGAUACCUGCUUAUAUAAAUAUAUAUACCUCGCCGGUCUUUGUUGUUUCAGGAUCAACAUGUUCUUCGUCAUCGUCAUAAUCGUAGUUCAUGACUUCAUCAAUUCGGUCGUCGCGAUCGAAUAUCAUAUCACCCUCUCUGGUGUUGUUUAGAAAUUCGGAGCCGGCAUAAUCUUCUUCAUUCUGAUCAUCAUCUGGCCCGCGUAUCAUAUCGAACAUGGUCUGUUCUCCCUCUCUGUCGGUAUUGUCUGCCAUAGCUUUUAUUUAACUAAUUCAAAAAAAUAUAUAAAACAAUUUAGUAUUCAAAUUACAUCGUCUCGAAUAAUAGAUAUAAUCUCGAAUACUUCGUCUAGAAUAAUAGAUAUAAUCUCGAAUACAUCGUCUCAAAUAAUAUAUAAUAUUGAAUAGUACAUCACUGGCUAGCUAAUUAAAGAUCGAAUACUACAGAAGAAUCUAGAACACUCGUGGUUCCUGCGGCGCGGGCGGUGGACACCCAAAGAGAAGGAACCCUCACAGGAUCAUAGCUGAAGUGAGAUCCCCGAAGAUACUGCCAGGUAUUGGAGAACCUGCCGCCCUCUAACGCAACCAUGUAGCGAUGGACGUGCUCGUCCUCCUCCCUAACACGGCGACGUACCACCUCCGGCGGGGCCGGGUCCCUCCGCACCGAAACUGGCCCACGCGAACGCCACCAAACGAGAUCAGGAUCGACGACGGGACCCAGGGCCGGGUUCCUCAUCAAGCGGCGCGCCCCUCCAGGCAGCACCUCCUAGUGCCAGCCCGACGGAGCCCAGUCCCGGACAUGGGGCGGCUGGACGUCGUCGUGGACGGGUCGACGGCGAGGAUGCGGGCCGGGCAUCGUCGAGAACAAAUACUAGCUAUAUGCCCGCAAAAAGUAACAUUUUUUUAAUGAUUGGAUUUUAAUAACUAAAAUUUCUAACAUUUCUAUAUAACACUAAUUAUGCUAAUCUAAAUAAUCUAAAUAACACUAAAAUUUCUAACAUUUCUAACAUUUCUAUAUAACACUAAUUUCUAACAUUUCUAUAUAACACUAAUUUCUAACUGAUUAAACACUAAUUAUAUCCAUCUAACAUGCAUUCAUACAUAUAUAAUAGUGAAAAAAUAAUAAUCUAAAUAAUCUAAACUAAUUAAACAUACAAAAUACGUGUGUGUGUACUAAUUAAACACUAAUUAUCUAAACUAAUUAAACAUACAAAAUAAUAAUCUAAAUAAUCUAAACUAAUUAAAGACUAAUUAUCUAAANNNNNNNNNNNNNNNNNNNNNNNNNNNNNNNNNNNNNNNNNNNNNNNNNNNNNNNNNNNNNNNNNNNNNNNNNNNNNNNNNNNNNNNNNNNNNNNNNNNNNNNNNNNNNNNNNNNNNNNNNNNNNNNNNNNNNNNNNNNNNNNNNNNNNNNNNNNNNNNNNNNNNNNNNNNNNNNNNNNNNNNNNNNNNNNNNNNNNNNNNNNNNNNNNNNNNNNNNNNNNNNNNNNNNNNNNNNNNNNNNNNNNNNNNNNNNNNNNNNNNNNNNNNNNNNNNNNNNNNNNNNNNNNNNNNNNNNNNNNNNNNNNNNNNNNNUAUAUAUAGAAGGCACCUUUAGUACCGGUUGGAGCCACCAACCGGUACUAAAGGCCUGUUUUGGCCAGGCCAAGCGGCGGGAAGCGACCCCCUUUAGUACCGGGUGGUGGCACAAACCGGUACUAAAGGCCCCCCCUUUAGUACCGGUUUGUGCCACGACCCGGUACUAAAGGGGGUGCGCUGGCGCAGGUGCGGUGCGGCAAGUUUAGUCCCACCUCGCUAGCCGAGGGGCGACCGCACUGGUUUAUAAACCCCCGUGCGGUCGCUCUCUCGAGCUCCUCUCCAAAGCAGGCUUACUGGGCCUACGUGUUCUUUGCAGCCAUGUGGGCCCACUUGGCCUUUGCGGGCCUGCAUCCUGGCCCAACGACAGGUUGGGUUUCUAGUCGUAUGCAGGCCGCUCUGGCCUAGUAGGCGGGCUUUUUUUAUUUUAUUUUUUGCUUUAUUUAUUUUUGUGUUGUUUUUUUUGUGUAUUUAGAGUUUCUUUGUGAACAUUUUUGUUUUAGGUACAAAAAAUUACAAACUUUCUGUUAGGGCUUUUUUUUAUUUUUUUGUGUUGUUUUUUUUGUGUAUUUAGAGUUUCUUUGUGAACAUUUUUGUUUUAGGUACAAAAAAUUACAAACUUUCUGUUAGUGCCCGUAGUUUUCAAAUUUGAAUAGUUUAAAUUUUGAAUUUUUUGAAAUUAGUGUGAAUCACUGGUUUGUGAAUAACUUAACUUUAAAAAUCAGUAAAGGCAUGAAAGAAUUUGUUUGCACAUAAAAUUUCUUCGCAUUUCAAAUGCCAAAACACAUAACUACCCUAACUAUUACAGAGAUUCCCCUCUCGGUGCGAAACACAGAAGAAAGUGAUGAUAGCUAGUGAAGCCGAUCACAUCCCAGAUCUUUGGUUGUGAAACUUUUUCUUCGCGUGUGUCUCUUUGCGCCGUAACCAUAGAAAAUCGUCAUCAUUUAACGGGAUGCUCGGGUCAAUAUUCACUGUGAAUGGAGCAAUUUCAUUAAACUUUUCAUAAUCUUCUGACUUGUCUGUCUUGUCAUCCACUCCCACGAUGUUUCUCUUCCCAGAAAGAACUAUGUGCCGCUUUGGCUCAUCGUACGAUGCAUUCGCUUCCUUAUCUUUUCUUUUUCUUGGCUUGGUAGACAUGUCCUUCACAUAGAAAACCUGUGCCACAUCAUUGGCUAGGACGAAUGGUUCGUCUGCAUACGCAAGGUUGUUGAGAUCCACUGUUGUCAUUCUGUACUGCGGGUCUUCCGUUACCCCGCCUCGUGUCAUAUUGACCCAUUUGCACCGAAACAAAGGGACCUUUAAACCAUGUCGAUAGUCAAGUUCCCAUAUGUCCUGUAUAUAACCAUAAUAUGUUUCCUUUCCCGUUUUAGUUUCUGCAUCAAAGCGGACACCACUGUUUUGGUUGGUGCUCUUCUUAUCUUGGGCGAUCGUGUAAAAUGUAUUACCAUUUAUCUCAUACCCUUUGAAAGUCAUUAUAUUCGAAGAUGGUAACUGGGACAGCAAGUACAGGUCAUCUUCAAUAGAGGUGUCAUGCAUGGUACGUGUCUGCAACCAGCUGGCGAAACUCCUGGUUUGUUCACGUGUAAUCCAGUCAUCAGACCGCUCCGGGUGUUUGGAGCGUAGCAAAUUCUUGUGUUCAUCCAUAUACGGAGCCAUCAAGGCGGAAUUCUGUAGAACUGUGUAGUGUGCUUCAGUGAGAGAAUGUCCGUCCAUACAUAUUAUUUGUUCCCCUCCUAGCAUGCCUUUUCCAUCCAGUCUGCCCUUAUACCGCGAUUCAGGAACACUAAUCGGCUUAAGGUCAGGAAUAAAGUCAAUACAAAACUCAAUGACAUCCUCAUUUUGAUGGCCCUUGGAGAUGCUUCCUUCUGGCCUAGCAUGGUUAUGAACAUAUUUCUUUAAGACUCCCAUGAACCUCUCAAAGGGGAAUAUAUUGUGUAGAAAUACAGGACCCAAAAUGUUAAUCUCUUGGCACAGGUGAACUAGGACGUGUGUCAUGAUGUUGAAGAAGGAUGGUGAGAACACCAACUCGAAACUGACAAGACAUUGCACCAAAUCAUUCUGUAACCUUGGUAUGAUUUCUGGAUCGAUUACCUUCUGAGAGAUUGCAUUGAGAAAUGCACAUAGCUUCACAAUGGCUAAUCGAACGUUUUCCGGUAGAAGCCCCCUCAAUGCAACCGGAAGCAGUUGCGUCAUAAUCACGUGGCAGUCAUGAGACUUUAGGUUCUGGAACUUUUUCUCUGCCAUGUUUAUUAUUCCUUUUAUAUUCGACGAGAAGCCAGACGGUACCUUAAUACUGAGCAGGCAUUCAAAGAAGAUUUCCUUCUCUUCUUUGGUAAGAGCGUAGCUUGCAUGACCCUGAUGUAUGUCGUCUUCUUCGUGCAUACGUUGCUGGUCCUCCCGUGCCUCAGGUGUAUCUUUUGUCUUCCCAUACACGCCCAAGAAGCCAAGCAGGGUCACGCAAAGAUUCUUCGUCACGUGCAUCACGUCGAUUGCGGAGCGGACCUCUAGGUCUUUCCAAUAUGGCAGGUCCCAAAAUAUAGAUUUCUUCUUCCACAUGGGUGCGCGUCCGUCAGCGUCCUUUGGAACGGAUUGUCCGCCAGGACCCUUUCUAAAUAUCACCUUCAAAUCCUUGACCAUAUCAUGUACAUCAGCACCAGUACGGUGGCGAGGCUUCGUCCGGUGAUCCGCCUCACCUUUGAAAUGCUUGCCUUUCUUUCUUACGGGAUGCCUGCUCGGAAGAAAUCGACGAUGUCCCAGGUACACAUUCUUCUUACAACUAUUCAAAUAUAUACUGUCGGUAUCAUCCAAAUAGUGCGUGCAUCCGUGGUAUCCCUUGUUUGUCUGUCCUGAAAGGUUACUGAGAGCAGGCCAAUCAUUGAUGGUCACGAACAGCAAUGCCUUUAGGUAAAAUUCUUCUUGUUUGUGCUCAUCCCAUGCACGUACAUCUGUUCCAUUCCACAGUUGUAAGAGUUCUUCAACUAAUGGCCUUAGGUACACAUCAAUGUCGUUGCCGGGUUGUUUAGGGCCUUGGAUGAGCACUGGCAUCAUAAUGAACUUCCGCUUCAUGCACAACCAAAGAGGAAGGUUAUACAAAUAUAGAGUCACAGGCCAGGUGCUAUGGUUGCUGCUCUGCUCCCCAAAAGGAUUAAUGCCAUCUGCGCUUAGACCAAACCAUACGCUCCUUGCGUCAUCUGCAAACUCCUUCCCGUAUUUUUUUUGAUUUUUCUCCACUGCGACCCAUCAGCGGGUACUCUCAACUUUCCGUCUUUCUUACGGUCUUAUCUGUGCCAUCGCAUCGCCUUGGCAUGCUCUUUGUUUUGGAACAAACGUUUCAACCGUGGUAUUAUAGGAGAAUACCACAUCACCUUGGCAGGAAUCUUCUUCCUGGGGCGCUCGCCCUCAACAUCACCAUGCUCAUCGCGGCUGAUCUUAUAGCGCAAUGCACCACAUACCGGGCAAGCGUUCAAAUCCUCGUACUCACCGUGGUAGAGGAUGCAAUCAUUAGUGCAUGCAUGUAUCUUCUGCACCUCUAACCCUAGAGGGCAGACAGCCUUCUUUGCUUCGUACGUACUCUCGGACAAUUCGUUGUCCUUUGGAAGCAUAUCCUUUAUCAUUAUCAGCAACUUUCCAAAUCCCUUGUCAGAUACACCAUUCUCUGCCUUCCAUUGCAGCAAUUCCAGUGUGGUGCCCAGCUUUUUCUUGUCACCUACACAAUUCAGGUACAACAAUUUUUAUUGAUCCUCUAACAUGCGCUGCAACUUCUUCUUCUCCAAAUCACUUGCGCAGUUUCUCUUUGCAUCGGCAAUGGCCCGACCUAGAUCAUCAACGGGCUCAUCUGAUGCCUCUUCUUCAGCUUCUUCCCGCAUUGCCGGCUCAGCUUCUUCCCGCAUUACCGGCUCAGCUUCUUCCCCCAUUGUUGUAUCAUCGUAUUCAGGGAACCCAUGGCCAGGAUAGCUGUCGUCGUCCUCUUCUUCUUCAUUGUCUUCCAUCAUAACCCCUCUUUCUCCGUGCUUGGUCCAAACAUUAUAGUGGGGCAUGAAACCGGACUCAAACAGGUGGACGUGAAUGGUUCUUGACGUAGAGUAAUUGCGACCAUUCUUACAGCCAGCACAUGGACAAGGCAUAAAACCAUCCGCCCGCUUGUUUGCCUCAGCCGCAAGCAGAAAAGUAUGCACGCCCUCAACGAACUGGGGAGAGCAUCGAUCAUCGUACAUCCAUUGUCGGCUCAUCUUCAUUACACAACACCAAAUAGACCAAAUUAAUACAAGUUCAUAAAUAAAGUUCAUACAACACUUAAAUGCAACAAACAAAUAACUCUCUAGCUAAAGCAUUUAAAUGCAACAACAAAUGCGAUCAAGAUCGCAACUAAGGUAACAAUUGAUCCAACAGCAUAAUGAUAUCAAGCCUCACUAUCGAUGGCAUAUUUUCUAAUCUUUCUAAUCUUCAAGCGCAUUUUCUCCUUCUUGAUCUUGUGAUCAUCGACGACAUCGGCAACAUGCAACUCCAAUUCCAUCUUCUCCCCCUCAAUUCUUUUCAAUUUUUAUUUCAAGUACUCGUUUUCUCUUUCAACUAAAUUUAACCUCUCGACAAUAGGGUCGGUUGGAAUUUCCGGUUCACAUACCUCCUAGAUAAAAAUAUCUAUGUCAACUUGAUGGGCAUAAUUUUUCAUAAACACGAAAUGCAACAAAUAGUUUUAAAAGAGAAUAUACCAUAUCCGAAUCAUAACAAGGACGAGGGGCGACGGGGACGGAUAUCAAAACCAUGGCACUAUGUAUAACAAAUAACGUACGGGUAAGAUAAUUAUUAUACGAGUAACUAUAUAUCCAAAUCACACAAACAUCAAUUUUUUAUAUAAAAUUUCAUGAACAAGAGGCUCACCACAAGGUGGUGCCGGCGACGGGACGGUGCGGGCGAUCGACGGUGGUUACGACGGAGAUUGAGAAGGCACUAAGUAAACCACACCUACAUAUGCAAACUAAGUGUUAUUUUAACCUCAAAUUGCAUAUAAAUCAAAUACUAGCACAUAUAUAUAUAUCCUCCCAAAUUACUAAACUCACAAAUUAAUAAUUAUAUAAAGCAUUGCAAGAGCUAAUCUAGCAAUGAGAGAUGAAAGGACAAAGUUGCUAACCUUUGUGAUCAUUUGAAUGGAUGGGGGCCUUCAAAUCUUGACAAAUUUUGGGCAAAAUGUGUGAUGAGCUCGAGAGGAAGAGGGGAAGAACAGAGCGAGCUCGGGUGGACGAAGGGUUUAUGUAGGACGACCUUUAGUACCGGUUCAUGCCAAGAACCGGUACUAAAGGUGCUGGAGGGGGCCCAGACUGACAACAUCCUGCCACCACUCUCAUUAGUACCGGUUCGUGGCACGAACCGGUGCUAAAGGUUAGCCACGAACCGGUACUAAUGAGAGCGGCCCGGCUAGCCGUUGGAACCGGCACUAAUAUAUACAUUUGUGCCGGCUCAAAUACAAACCGACACUAAUGUGCUUCACGUUUGACCCUUUUUCUACUAGUGUCUAGACAUCGAAGUUGCGCACAACUUAAUUAUUUUUUAAACAAAAUAAGAAAAAAAAAGAAUAAUAAUACACAGCGAGCAACCACAGCGAACGAAUGAGAGAAGUGGACGGCGAAACAUUUAUAUCAUAUCAUGCCUAUCCACUAGACUCAUUUGAUACCAGCAAGAAGUGCAUCUCCUCACAAGUCACAAAUAUGAUCACAUAUCACCAUAAGGCUCGUUGCCUUGAUAUUGGAAAUUUUGUUGUUCCUUUCUCUUCAAAUGCACGACCAAAAAUAGGAGAAUGCUUUCUCUUGAUUUUCCUUCUAUAUUUGUACAGUGUACAACUCUGUUUAUGAUGUAUUGGGGUUUUUCCUCUCUUAGUGAAUGAAACACAGGAAAGAAGGCAACGCUGCUGCAUUUUGCUUAAUUCACUAGAUCUGUGGGUUGGAUCAAUGCUAGGUCUAGCCGCCAAGUUACUUAACUACACACAUCUUACCUAUCCAUAUUUCUACGUUGAUGAGGUACGUACUAGAACAUAGUAAAAAGGACAUGAAAGGUUGACACAGGGUUAGCAAAAGGAAAGCGUGAGCAGUCCAACCAUGCAAGCCAAUCAACGGGAACAUACGCCGGGCUGGAAUCCAUGCCCUACUGCUACAAUGAAAAUAAUUAGUGAGGGCCGGAGUGAAGGGUAGAAAAGGGCCAUGGUCCUUGUGAAAGAAACGGAUGGGGAGUCAUUUUCGUGUGCACCACUGGUCCUUGCGACAAGAGGAUGCCCGUAGCUAGAGCUGACCCUCCCCACUAACGCUACUCCACUACUGUCUUUGUCAUAUCUAUGUUUGUAUGCAUGUCGGUCUGUACCUACCGGCAACACUGCUCAGCACGCCACACAACAGUACAAUACAUAUCACAUCUAUACAUCUUAGGUAUGGGUGCCCCUACAUAAACGUGUGGUGUGGCGUGAGCAAGGGACAAGGCAACUAACAGAUUUUUCUGUUUGCAACAGGGUGCAACUAAUAGAGUUGAAAUAAUGUUACUGGAUAUGUUGCUGUGCCGAUCCACACACGCACCGACGGCACUGGUUUACAGGGAUUGUUGCACACGCGUCCGGGUCUGAUUGGCUCCUCCACCCUAUAAAACCACACCGUAUGUAUCUUCACUUCUCCACACAGAGCACACCGACCCACCAUCCAUCUAUCCAUCCAUCCAGGCUAGAAGCAGCGGCCAACAAGUGCACCCCUAGCUGCGAGCACAAGGAGCUGGCAGCAAUGGCGAGGCAUCGCCUCCUUGCCGUGCUCAUGCUCCUCGUCGGGGUAGUGGCAGCCUCCACUUUCCACCAAGCGGCCGCCGCUGGCCGGGGCCUUGCUGUCCUCGAGAAGUUUGCGGACCUGGAGCCAAAGCCAAAACCCAAACCAGAGCCAAUGCCCAAACAAAUGCCGAAGCCUGAACCAGAAUCAAAACCAAAGCCCAAGCCGAUGCCAAAACCCGAACCCAAGCCCAAGCCGAUGCCCAAACCUGAACCAAAGCCAGAGCCCAAGCAUAAACCAAUGCCUAAGCCAGAGCCCAAGCCUAAACCAAUGCCUAAGCCGGAACCGAAGCCUAAACCUGAACCAAAACCAAAGCCACCACCAAAGCACAAGCCGCCAACAGCUUACAAUUGAUGGGAUACUAUAUAUGCAAACUGAAGGAUCGAGGAGAUCAUGGCCAGAGCCACAAUCGCGAUAUUUCUAGAAUAAGUGGUGUAGUAACAAUGUCAUUCUAUCCGGCUAGCUCCAUAGUGAUGCAUCUUUCUGUAUUCUAUGUAUUUCGUUACAUUUACAAAGUUUCUGUUUCAUGUACCCAUGAUGAGUAUCACAACCUUGUAAUUGUUAGCUGCUUGUUGGUGUACGUUCAAUUUUGUACGUGACUCAUUGUUCUAUUUGUGUAUCUAUAUGCAUGAUUUUAUUCAUUCGCAUGAAUGAGUUAUUUUGUCCAGGGGACCGCAGGCUAU
rnacentral:lncRNA from 1 species